CCAACAUCAACAUGUACUACUAGCAAGCAUAAACAUAUGAAAGGAAAUACUAGCAGGUAGAACAUGAUAACAGAGUACAAGACAACAUAGCACAAAAGUGAACAUGCAAAUCUAAACAUCACCGGAACAAUGAUAACCAUCUUUUCAACAAGCAAACAUUUAAUAAAGAUUCAAGUUGAAAACCAUGGCUACUGCAUGACUAUCAUGCAAGUGGGUAUUGUGGCUUUCCUGGGGAUGAAGAAGGCACCGGGGAGAAAUACGGUGAAGCCGCAGAAAGAUUUGCCGGAAACAGUUCUCUCUCGGAGGGUCUGUUUACGCGCAAGGGCAAAAUUGUCAUUUUCAGAAUGCCAAAACAUAUUGAAAGUGACACCAACAGAAAUGGCUCAACGAUACGAAGAAGUGGGCUUUGAAUUCACCUCAUUCGGUGUUACGGUUGCGGAGAUAUAAGAUAAUGAAGAUCAGGGACCAAUAUGUGAAUAUUUCUUCAACCCAGGUCCCUGAGUGGAUAAGGUGGAGGCGCAAACUGAGAAAUACACUUUCGGGGGAUGAAAACAUACUCGCCCAAUUACGUCUCCACUUAGCCACGUCAGUGCACCGGGUCAACACGGGGCCGGCUCCUGGCUCACUGACGCGUAGGGUCAAGAGGGGAGGCAGGGCCCGCCUGGCCAGCUGGACGGGGCACGGGCGCUCGUCCCCUUCCUCCCGCUCGCACUGUUCCUCGCGUGGGGCAGAGGCAGAGUAGGGGAGCAAAGAGGCAAAGGGGCCGGCCGGCUCCAGCGAUCCCUGGCCAUGGCGCGGCCACCAGCGGGACCACAACGGCCAGCCGCACCCAUCCAGAGGAAGGGCGGCCGCUAGGGAGAGGCGGCGCCAUGGGAGAGGCAGAGAGCUUCAGGCGGCGAUGGUUCUCGGUGAUGCGGGCACUCCGGCGAGGGGGCAAGGGGGUGGGGCGGCUGAGUGGGAUGAGAGGAGUGCGGUGGAUGUGAAGGGGAGGCGAGGGGAGGCCUGUGGUGGCCGAACCCAAGCCGAGGCCGAGGCGGCCAUGGAGGGUGACGGCGAACAACGACAUGAUGUGGCGAUUCCCGAGGGAAAAUGAGGCGGGGGAGGGAUCUGUGAGCUGCGGAGGAGGUCGGGGGUCCCUUAUAUAGGCGCGAGGAAGGCUGUGGAGCUUCACGGGCAAGCUCACGACAAGCUCUAAUGGUGGACAGAGGCUGGGCAUGGCACGGGCAUGGCGUUUGCGACACAUUUAAGGCGAACGGCGAUGAACCAUCGAUGCAGGGAGACGCAGGGCAUCACGGGGAAGCUCAUGGACAAGGUCGGAUGUCGAGAUGAGGAGGGAGGAGACGAGCACAUGGACGGGAAGAAGCCAGAGCGCGCAAUCUGCAUGACGCAAGCGUGAUCACCAUGCGCAUUGGUGCAAAUAGAUCGUUCUGGCCAGGACGACCAUGUCCAGUGGAUUGACCUUAGUAUAGUUGUUAGGACCCCGACUCAAUGCCACACCGAUCUAGCAUGUAACACGUCAUAUCACUUUGCGGCCUCACGCACGGUAUUUCCACGGGUGACGCCUUAACAGGCCCGGGACCGUUUGCGCCUUUUGGCACACGUAUAUGAUAGUGUUGCUAGCAUCCAUAUGACAAGGAGCCUGGGCUGACAUGGCUAGUCGUGAACCCAAAGUGGCGCUAACUUAUAGGGACAGGCAUACAUGACCCAACAACGAACGUGUCGGUCAUCAGCGAGUGAAUCCGGGCUGUAGCAGCUGGGCUAGCAGGACUCCGGAGAAUCUGGGCUGUAGCAGGCUUACAGUACUCCGGUAGACACCACGUGACAUUUCCCCGAAGGGACAGACACAUGAACGAAGAAGGACACAUGCCGGCCAGCCUAAGUGUUCCGGAGCAGUAGCAAGCUACUAGGGCUCAGUGGAAGCACUAGGAGACAUUUCCCGGUAAGAGAGGCUACUAAGGAUAAACAACUAGAUAGUCAGAUCCCACACAUAGCAAUACACAUUACACGUACGCAUAACAUGCAAGUAUGUGUUGUACAACAUGGCAUCACAACAUAACUCAACAACUCAUAUAGAUAAGGCUCAAAGAGCCAUCAUAGAAUUUAUUACAAGCAAGGGUCACAUGACCCAACAUUCAGAGCAAACAAGCAACAAGCGCCACGACCCUGUAAGCACUCACACUUGUCUUGAGCAUUUUAGAGUAUCCACUUCAAGUUGUCUAUGUACCAUGUAAGCAUCCAAGAAGUCCAUAACCGCGGACCCGGCUAUUCGAAUAGAUCAUGUUAACCCUGCAGGGGUGUACUUCUUCACACACGCUCUCGCCACUUACGCCAUGUACACGUCAUGUAUCUCGGCAACCUUCAAGCGGAAGCCUGGCGAGGGUGUCGGCCACGACCUGACUAACCACACAAGAACCUAGUCCAGGUUUAUCGCCUAUUCGGGUUCCAUCCGCAAGGAGAUCCGGCCGGGGUGUCGCUCACGGCCCCAAACGAUGUGAGCAGGGUUCCCAAGCCCACCAUCCGGGUGCCACUUGGUACACCGUGCCACCUGUGCCUAGUCUGUCCCAAGCCCACCCUACCAGGUGCCACUUGGUAGAAAAAUAGCACUACCUACAAACACCAGAAACUAGUUGCGACUCCUGGACAGAGAUCAAGUCGGUUAAUAAGUCGAGAGAGUCAAUUAAGGAUCCCAAUGUGUGGUAGUAUCGAGUCAUUGGACAACAUACAUAGAAUUCAGUGCUUAAGGACGGUUCCAGUGAGACAACCCACCAUGUACUCCUACAUGGCCUCUCACCGCUACCUUUACCAAAUCGUGUUCACACACUUCACUCUCAGCAUCAGAACAUAUCGUAACACUCCAAUUCAUUUCCAAUGAAUCAGACCUGACACGACUCUAAGCAAUAGCAGGCAUGGCAUGGUAGGAACACAACAUGGCUUAAUCAACUCCUACACAUGCUAGUGGGUUUCAACUAUUUACUGUGGCAAUGACAGGUCAUGCACAGGAAUGGUGAGGGAGUCCCGGAUUAGGGGGUGUCCGGAUAGCCGAACUAUCAUCAUCGGCCGGACUCCAAGAUUAUGAAGAUACAAGAUUGAAGACUUCGUCCCGUGUCCGGAUGGGACUUUCCUUGGCGUGGAAGGCAAGCUUGGCGAUGAGAAUAUGUAGAUCUCCUACCAUUGUAACCGACUCUGUGUAACCCUAGCCCUGUCCGGUGUCUAUAUAAACCGGAUGGUUUUAGUCCGUAGGACAUAACAACAAUCAUACCAUAGGCUAGCUUCUAGGGUUUAGCCUCCUUGAUCUCGUGGUAGAUCUACUCUUGUAAUACCCACAUCUUCAAUAUCAAACAAGCAGGACGUAGGGUUUUACCUCCAUCAAGAGGGCCCGAACCUGGGUAAAACAUCGUGUCCCUUGUCUCCUGUUACCAUCCGCCUAGACGCACAGUUCGGGACCCCCUACCCGAGAUCCGCCGGUUUUGACACCGACAUUGGUGAUUUCAUUGAGAGUUCCUCUGUGCCGUCGCAAUCAGGAAGGAUGCCUCUUCCCGUCUUUAAAGACGGUACCAUUGCCAAAGGAGCUUUGGCCGCCGGUUAAGCUAUCCGGCUAGGUGGUUUUCUUAUGACCGCCUGUUCGGCCACCACUUCGACGAUGACCUCUUGGGUCAUCAAAAGCGAUCUUCGCGUCAACUCGGAAUUCACCGAGCAGCUGGAUCCGAUGGAGCUCUCUUCCAUAAACGAGCUCUUGGAUCGCAUCGCUGCCCUGGGAGUCGCUACAGACUACGACCAGAUUGGGCUUAAAACCGAUCUGAGAGAAAUUAACUCUCCCCAGGCUACCCACCACAUUGCUGUGGUAGAAGAACAAUGCGGCGACUCUUCUUCUAUGUUAAAAACCAGUUAUGUCCGGAUUCCCGAUCCCUCCAUGCCGGAUUCCCGUGGAGGGGCGGACGUCAAUCGAGUACUGAACCUAAAGUCAGGCAGCAGACUAGAUUCGUUGGACGACGUCCAGCAAUCCAAGUUUCCAAAUCCGAAAACUCCUCGGCCUUUGAGCCUCAGAUUGGGCGGGGUUCCGAAUUUAAUUCCACCCGCCCACCCAAACACAAGCGAUCUAUAUCAAAUACGACAAGAGCCCGAUGAAACAGUACAUCAUUAUUGGGCCAGAUUCCUCCUGGUUAUGGACAGGAUAAAGGACUGCUGUGAGGAAAGCGCAAUCUCUAUUUUCUGCAACAAUUGCACGGAUAAGGCAAUCAUGAAUGCCAUAAGUCAUCACGAAGUUACGCGCUUCGCCGACCUGGCGACCAUAGUACGAAAAUAGUGUGCGAUGGAGAGUGCCUGGAAAACCGAAACCAGAUUUUGGGACAAUCCGGCCCUGAACACAACCCUAGUCCAGAAUAAAAGGGUGCACCAUGCUCAAGCACCUGGGUCAAAAACCAAAAAGCAAAAACCCCCUAAAGGGUACGGAACCAUACUGGAGGGAUGGCUCAGCGGACCCUGCAAAAUCCAUAAUACAGAGGGCGCCACUCCAACACAUAGCCUUCGAGCAUGUUGGAUACUACAGCAGGCGGCCAAAAGUGGCGAAGGUCUUCUAGCCCCGGAGAACCAGCCCAAUAGUACCAGUACGGUAUUAACAGUCUUCGAGACUUUCGCAUCAAAUAAUAUGCGGAAACGAACAAUCCACAGCCUCACCGAAGUCUACCAAGUAGCAAUAACAAAUCCAUGGAGCGACACAGCUAUCACAUUCAAUGCCAGCGACGAACCUAAAUUCUGAACAGCCCGAGCACCAGCCGCAUUGGUCCUCAGUCCAAUAGUGGACGACUUUCAUCUUACCAAGGUACUCAUGGAUGGCGGCAGCGGAUUAAACCUCAUCUAUGAGGAAACCCUCCAAAAAAUGGAAAUAGACUGGAGCCGCAUUGAGCGAAGCAGCACAACCUUUAGAGGAAUAAUCCCUAGUUAGAAAGUACGCUGCACAGGAAAAAUCACGCUAGAUGUGGUGUUCGGUUCACCGGACAACUACAGGUCAGAGGAGGUCACGUUCCAAGUGGCCCCGUUCAGCAGCGGAUAUCACGCUCUAUUAGGGCGAGAGGCAUUCACAAUUUUCCAAGCUAUACCCCAUUACGGGUACAUGAAGCUUAAAAUGCCCGGGCCCAAUGGAAUCAUCACUCUGGUCAGUGAUCCGGACAUAGCACUCCGCACUGAAAAUAAGACAACCGCACUAGCCCUAGAGGCACUAUCCGAAGCCCUAGCGGCAGAAGAACUCACUGCACUGCGCUCCACGGUGAAUAGGGACGAUGUGAUACUCCAUAAGAGAUCUAAGUCCACCUCUUUUAAACUAGCAGACGAAAUAAUCAAAUUCCAGGUCCAUCCGACGGACCCCACAAAGACGGCCUCCAUUGGGGCACAAUUAAACCCUGAUGUAGAAGCCGCACUACGAGAAUUCCUUCGGGAAAAUUGGGACAUUUUUGCCUGGCACCCUUCAGAUAUGCCAGGAAUCCCAUGCAGGCUGGCAGAGCACAGCCUAAAUAUCCUAAAAGGAUUCAAGCCAGUUAAACAGGCUCUUCGACGAUUUUUCGAACCCAAAAGACAGGCAAUGGGAGAGGAGCUAGCCAAACUAUUAGAAGCCGGAUUCAUCAGAGAUAUAAAACAUCCGGACUGGCUAGCGAACCUGGUAAUGGUACCAAAAAAGGACAAAUCCUGGCGCCUCUGUGUCGAUUUUAAAGACCUUAAUAAGGCCUGUCCAAAGGAUCCUUUCCCCCUUCCCCGCAUCGAACAAAUCAUCGAUGCCACCGUGGUGCACGAUUCAUUGUAUUUCCUCGACGCAUACUCCGGAUACCAUCAAAUCAAGAUGGCGGAAACAGACCAGGCUGUCAGGACCCCGACUCAAUGCCACAUAGAUCUAGCAUGUAACACCUCAUAUCACUUUGCGGCCUCACGCACGGUAUUCCCACGGGUGUCGCCUUACCUUAGCCCGGGACCGUUUGCGCCUUUUGGCACACGUAUAUGACAGUGUCGCUAGCAUCCAUAUGAUAAGGAGCCCGGGCUGACAUGGCUAGUCGUAAACCCAAAGUGGCACAGACUUACAGGGACAGGCAUCCAUGACCCAGCAUCAAACGUGUCGGUCAUCAGCGAGUGAAUCCAGGCUGUAGCACUGGGCUAGCAGGACUCCGGUGAACCGGGCUGUAGCAGGCUAACAGGACUCCGGUAUUCAUCGCGUGACAUUUCCCCGAAGGGACAGACACAGGAAUGAAGAAGGACACAUGCCGGCCAGCCUAAGUGUUCCGGAGCAGUAGCAAGCUACCAUGGCUCGGUGGAAACACUAGGAGACAUUUCCCGGUAAGAGAGGCUACUAAAGAUAAACAACUAGAUGGUCAGAUCCCACACAUACCAAGCAUUUCAAUAACAUACACACAAUAUGCUCGAUAUGUGCAAAUACAACAUGGCAUCACAACAUGACUCUACGACUCAAGUAUUUAAUCAAUAGGCUCCGAGGAGCGAGAUAUUACAAACAUGGGUCUCAUGACCCAACACUCAGAGCAUACAAGUCAAAGCACAAGCGGAAGCUAUCAUGUCUGGGUACAAACAUCUAUAAAUGAAAAAGGCUGAGAAGCCUGACUAUCUACCAGAUCCUGUCGAGGGCACAAGAUCGUAGCUGAGGUAACAAGCUAAACAUCGAAGUCCAUGCGGAACUACUAGCGAGACCGAAGUCUCUCUGCAAAAACAUAAAAUAGGCAAACGUGAGUACAAAUGUACCCAGCAAGACUUACAUCAAAACUAUCUACAUAUGCAUCAUUAUCAACAAGGGGAUGGUGGGGUUUAACUGCAGCAAGCCAGCUUUGACUCGGUGGCUAUCCUAAACUACGACUGCAAGCAACUCUUUGAGGUGGCGCACACGAGUCCACAUAUUCACCAUAUCAAUACACCACUAUGGAUCCACUCCCGUCUCUCUACGAGAAUGCCAUCCAUAGCACUCACGCUUAUCUUGCGUAUUAGAGUAUCCACUUUCACUUGUCUAUGAACUGAUAUAAGCAACCCAGAAGUCCUUUUCCGCGGACACGGCUAUUCGAAUAGAUGAUGUUAACCCUGCAGGGGUGUACUUCUUCACACACGCUCUCACCACUUACCGCCGUUUACACGACAUGUACUCGGCAACCUUCAAGCGGAAGCCCAACGUGGGUGUCGGCCACGGCCUACCUAAACACUCAAGUCUCUAGUCCAGGUUUAUCGCCUAUUCGGGUUCCAUCCAUGAGGAGAUCCGGCCGGAGUUUCGCUCACAGCCCCAAACGAUGUGUACAGGGUUCCGUGACACCAAACGGGCGCCCGGUUUACUCGGCCACGUGCCUACCGCAUCACAGCCCACCCCUACGGUCAGCACUGCGCACGGCCUCCAGCAUACUACAAACACCAGAAACUAAUUGCAACUCCUGGACAGAGGACAAGGGUGAUUAAGAAGCCGAGAGGGUCCAUUGGUUUCGGACCCAAUGCGUGGUAGUAGCUGAAUCAUGGAUCGCAAACACAGAACUCAAUUCCUGAGGACGGCUGCAAUGAGACAACCCACCAUGUACUCCUACAUGGCCUCUCACCGCUACCUUUACCAAAACGUGUUCACACACUUAGCUCACACACAGUAGGACAUGUUCACACGCCUCUGAAUCAUCCCCGAUGAAUCAGACCUGACUCAACUCUAAGCAGUAGCAGGCAUGACAACAAACAUAAAUGAGUAGGCACAUCAGAGCUCAAACAACUCCUACUCAUGCUAGUGGGUUUCAUCUAAUUACUGUGGAAUGACAGGUCAUGCAGAGGAUAAAGGGGUUCAGCUACCGCAGCAAGUAACAGAUGAAUCGAUGUUGUCCUAAUGCAGUAAAAGAGAGCAGGAGCGAGAGAGUGGGAUUGUAUCGGAAUGAACAAGGGGGUUUUGCUUGCCUGGCACUUCUGAAGAUAACAUUGAGUCUUCAUCAGUGUCAACGAUCACAUCAUCGGUAUCACGUCUAUCGAGAGGGGACAAAUACCGGCAACACAGAAGGAAACACAAUCAAUGCAAUGCACAAUAUGAUGCAUGAUCAUGACAUGGCAAAAUGAAUGUGUUUUGGGCUAAUGCAUCUAGCAACAAGUUAAAUGGGGUUGGUUUGAAUACAAGAUUCAAAUUCAAACUCCAUAUGUGAUUAUUCAAAUGCCAUUUAAUUGAUUUGUGCUAAACAGCAGCUAUAAGUUGUUCUAACAUGCAUGAAAAUGGUACAGAUGGAUUCCUUGAAUUUUUCUGAUAAUUUUUCAUAUAUAAUUUAUUUAAUUUGGAGUUACGGUUAAUUUUCUAUGAUUUUUAGAAGUUUUAGGUAUUUUCUGGAAUUUCCUGAAUUUAUUUUAAAUCCAGAAAAUGAUUUAUGGCGUCAGCACCACGUCACUGUGAUGUCAGCAGAGUCAACUGGGCGCCCCAGGUCAAACCUGACCAGCGGGGUCCACUGGUCAGUGACACAACUAAUUAACCAAGUUAAUUAGCCUUAAGUUAAUUCUAACUAAACUGUUUGUGGGGCCGGGGCCCACUGGUCAGCAACUAAUCAGCUAACUAACCUAGGUUAAUUAGUGUUAAACUAAUACUAACUAAAAUGUCAGGGGGGUGGCCCACACGUCAGUGACACACGGGGAAGGUCAAACCUGGGUCAACUCGCCGGAGUUGACCCGCGGCUCGUCGCCGGCGGAGCCAGAGACGGCGGAGGGGUGCGGUUUCCCUCCUCCGGCGACCAAAUGGCCGGCGGAGGGCGUCUACGUGACGCAGGCACUCGUCCGCGUCGAGUAGUGGCAGCGGCUGGGCCUAAGAUGGCCGGAGUCGUCACCGGCAUCGACCGUGGCGGUCGCCGGAGCUCGGGUGAGCUCGGGGUCGACGCUACGGUGGCCGGGGAGGCUCGUGCGAGGCACCUACGUGCUCUAGGCAGCGCGGGGAGGAAGCUGAGCACGACAGCCGGGCCACUAGGUGGCUGGAGGCACGUCGGCGGCGAUCACAGGCGGCGGCGGGUUUCCGUCAUCAAGGGGGCGACGGCUACGGCAAUCAAACGAAGAGGGGAAGAGGGGGAAACGGUGGCGGAGCUCACAGCGGUGCCGUAGGGAUGGUUAGCCGGCUCGGGGACGUCCUGCGUGUGGCGGAUCGACGACGAUGGUGGCCAGAGCCCGAGGUGGAAGACGACGGCGAUGGCGACGUUGCUGGCCUCCCGGGGUCGCGUGCGUCGUGUGUGUAGCUCCACGGGGUCGGGACGGAGCUCAGGGAUGUGGAGAGGGAGCGAGGGGGUGGCUGUGGCCGUGGGGGAGCUCGUCGGCGGCGGCGGGCGCGUUCGGUGAGGAGAACAGAGGAGGGGGAGAGUGUUCGGGGAAGAGAGAGGGAGCAGCGAGGGAGGAAGAGGAGCGAGGGGACACGAGGCAUCGUCGUGGCAUCGCUAGGGAGACCGGGGGAAGCAGGAGGUGGCCGGGGCAUCGCCAGCGCUCGCCACCGAGCAGCUUCGGUGCGAGGGGAGGAAGACGACAGGAGAAGGGUGGGCUGGGCUGCGCUGGGCCGGUCCUGUUGGGCCACCAUGUGGGCUUCACAGGUAAGUCCAGGUGGUUCUGCUCCUUUUUUUUUAAUUCUGUUCUGUUUUCUUUUAUUUAAUCUGUUUUGCCACUGUUUUGAAUUUAAAAAUAAUUCAAGCAAUGCCAAAACUCCACUGAAAAUAUUUAUGCUGCUUAAUGGACUUUUCCAAAAGCACAUAAAAUGUUUCAGGGUAUUUGGAAAUAUAUUCUAUACAAAUUAUGAAUAUAGUUCCAAAUGCAAAUAAAGUAAUGAUUUAAAUUCAGUGCUCAAAAUAUUCCUCAAAAAUGUUCAUUAUUUUUGGUUUGGUGCAAAACCCUUGCCAAAAUAUAACCAACAUUAUUUAAGGCCAUUUUGAAAACAUUGAAUGCAUUUUCCAGGGUUCUUUGCCCCUCUUUUAUUUAAGUUUUUGAGGCUUCCAAAAUUCCUCAGUUCAAGUUUCAGAAAUUUAAAUAUGAUGCCUGGAUGAAGAUGCAACUAUUUACAAACAAUAUUCUAGGGCUGUGACAACUCACCCCCACUAAACAAAAAUCUCGUCCCGAGAUUCAAGCGUAGGGUAAGGUGAAGGGGGAACGCAACUAGUACAAUCUUCACGAUCCAGGUUGCACUUCAUAGAAACGUUGAUUCGAUCACCAUCAUUGUCUUGAAGUCUUGCCUUGAGAACUCCAACUAUCAUGACAACGAGAGGAAAGGAAAGACCCUAAAGAAUUGUUCUUCUCGAAGGUCGAACAACUCAGGAUUAACCCACGGAAUGAGACAUAACAACAUCUCUCGAGCUGAGACACGAAGCACACCUCUAGAGGGAUGGAGUGGAACAGAUGACGAGGGUUCACUAGGUAGACAACAAUUCCACACCUAAGAAGGUGGUAAACGAUUGCCAACGUAGCGAGGAGUUGAGUUGCCAUGAUACCAUAACGAUGCACCUUAGGGAAGGUGACUCGUAGAAAUAUCCCCUUAAGUGGCAAAAAGAAUUACCUUUGAUUCAAAGAUCAAUGAAACUCUUUAAGCCAGCCUAAGGCAAUUCUCGAGCGAUCGUUUGGAGGGGGUCGGUAGAAUGGCAUACUCGGACUUGGAUGAUGUGGAUUACCUUGUUGAAGACAACGUAAUGGAUGAUUUUUGCUUAUCACCGGAAAUGGAAGAGACCCAUGGUAGAAUGGCACAUUGGCGGUGCAAGCUGGGAACAAAAUGCAAAUGCUGGGAAUGAUUCUAGUAACUGGGGAGAGGCUCAACAAUAGAGAGUGAAUUCACUGUUUGAAAAGGUCAUAGCAUUGCCGAGGAAACUGAGAGCAAACCCAGUUAGUGCCGAUGAUAACACGUAGCGCUUGUGCGUGCUCUCAAGAACUUGAGCAUUUCCACAUUCAUCAAGGUUUUACCAAUAUCCGUGUCAAGGAUCCUGGCAACACAACUUACUACCAUGAUGAAUAGCGAUGGGCGAUGCAGAUGCAAAGGAGGAUAACACUUUCUCAGAUUUCACCUUAGCGAGGCCAAGGAAAAAAAAUCUGGAUGAUCGACCGAGAGACAUUUAGCACUCCGCUUCUAAUGUUCUCCUUGAUGUGCUAGUGUAACCCAUUCAUAGAUAUGGUUUGAUAUCUAGAACAUCAAGUAAAAAAAAGGUCGGACUUCGGGAACACAGGAAUCCAUAAGGAAUAACUACGGAGGUAAAUCCUACGAAGUCCUCAUGGGGAGGUGGCCAACUUCCUCAAUCAUGAUGUUAUAAUAACAGGUCUUCCGGCUGGGUGUGUUGGCCACGACAUCCACCUUACCGGUUAUCGAGGGACCAAUAUUAUAGUUCUUGGGAAAUGUUCCAACCAUCAUAUCUGCCUGAGAUUCAGAUCUGGUUGGUGUCAGGAUAUUCCAGACUCAUCGAGUCUAGUAAGAAAAAUGAAAGUUUGCAACACAAAUCGACGAGAUGACGUCGUGAGAUUCUCGGGGAGCGAACUACGAUAGCAGGCUCCAAAACAUGAGCUGGUUCUGCUACACACAUGUGAACACGUUGUCCCAGACAAACAUUAUCACAUGGUAGUCUUACAACAAAACACUACCGAGUUCAGGUGGGGAACCAUCAUUAAUGACAUCGAAGUCUCCACGCGUGGAAGUCCAAAGAGUUCACCUUGGACAGACUCCUUUAUCUUUGAACAACUCAAUCAGUGGCUUGGUGUGCUAGGAUAUACAUAUAGAAUGGAGGUUGCAAAUCUCCAGACCACAGAAUACUUCGCACGUAUGCAUGACUGACUUGGGAUGAUUCCAGAGGAAGCAAAACUAACUUUCUCAAAUUCACGGCGGCAAAUUUCACCAAAUGCACGUGUAUAAAAGGAAGUCACUCCUUUCAUCAACAAAUACUUCAUGAGCUAGCAUGAAUAAAAUGCUUUCAAAAGUUUCCAACACUAGCUUAAUGUCCAACAAAAUCAUCGAGGAGAUAAGGAUGUUGUCAAUGGGAUCAACAACAAUUCAUCUAGGUUUCCUUCUAAAAGGAAUUCCAUAGUUAAGUGAACACGGUGAUAGCAUUGGUCAGACCAAAGAUGUAAUGGUGUAUGCUCGAGGGAUCAACCAUGAAUAAGACAACAUUACGAGCAUCGUUGGUACUGAUUUGAUUUGACGAUAGCCCACACUCAAAUCAAAGGAUUGAUAAGACAAUAGGUCCAGCAACUGAUCACAGGGACCAAUCGAUGAAGAUACCGUCUUUCUUCAACACACACUACACAAGAAUAUCCCUUUGGAACGAACUAAGUCAGGCAAGCUUUUAUCUUCCAACCCUCCAAGUUGUUGUUUAGCUUAACCAACUAGCUCAGGGAUAUCUAACACCGAUUCUUGGAGAGAAGGUGGUUCACAAGAAACCAACUUGAUCACAAGCCCAACAUAACAGUCAGGAAAUAACCCGGUAAUGCUUCCAAGAAGAUAUUUGGAAAGUCACAAACCACCGGUAUGUUACUAAGCUCGAGAACAAUCUUGCCUUUCAGGGCAAGACGAUAUGAUCAAAUGAGCGAGGACUUGACAAAAUCCUAACUCAUCAAUCGAAAUGUGCACCAGGAAGAUGGACAAGGUAGCACGAUAAAUCUUAGAAUGAUGAUUCAAGAACAAACACGUUAAGAAUGAGGUUAUUGUCCAUUUAUCUACCAAGCAACAAGGUUGCUAGGAGUAUUGAUUUCACACAUCACGAUUCACUUGUCGACAUUCCGGUUGUGACAACACGGAACCGAGGGAUGAAUAAUGAUGGCGAGAAGUAUCACUACAUCAAGAAUUCUCAAGAGCCGGUGCAAUCCUCAUGAAAAUCCUGACAUAAAGGGGGUAAUACUCCAAGGUAGAACAGAACCAAAAGCUGGAUUGGCAUUUGAUCUGCGGAAUACAACUACUUUGACCCAAUCCUAGAUAUGGAUGAGGUACUGGAGUUUGUUUCCCCAAGUCAUUCAGGACAGAAUGGCUUGACGGACCACAUGAGUAAUAGAUAUUGAUAAAUGAAUGCAUGCAUACUCUUGACUAUCAAUUGAUAGACGAAGGUCAGUAGGCAACUAAAGAGGGACAACUCAAAGGAACAUAUAAUUCUCUGAGUUAUGGAUGCAUAGAUUUGUAUGUCGAGCGAGAUCAACAUUUCUUCCAGAUAACCCAUGCAGAGAGGUAGGACUGGCAGAGUCACGAUUUAUGAAUGGAGAUCUCCUCAAGAGUACUCUAAUUGUGAUUUUUUUUGAUCCAAUAAACAUCUGCCAUAAGCGGUUCAUAGUAUUUGGAAGAAGGAAAUACCACGGACCUCGAGGACUAUCGCAAAGUUACUAAUAUCCUGAAGGAACUAGCAAACACUAUCAACAUGAAGUAAGUAGAGUGAAUCUCGGGUUCAAAACCCAGAAAUAGAAUACCUACUACUAAGUAGCAUCACGAGAUGCUUUCGAGAAUGAUGGCCAGAAUCUUCACACUGGGAACACAAAACGUUGCUAGAUUACUAGGUGACUCCCUAAAUACCUAGGGUCAUAAUAGUAACUCCAACAUAAAUGUCAAGGCAAUAGAAUACCUCAACUUAACAAUUAGUGUGAUUGAGCUGGCAUAAAGGAACAUCGAAACCAGAGGGAAAGGAUUUGCAAAUGCAUCAGACCAUUUAGAAACCUGGAAUGACUCGGACAGCAUAACGGCUGUAAAUGCUCAGAAAAGAUUUGAGACAUUCACAAAGAUGGUGGCAUAACCACUCAGAAGCACAAUAUCAAGGUUUCGAGAUCAACAAUUAACAUACGGAAGUAGUAGAAACUGAACUCAAGCUUAAAUCCAACAAUCUUAUAAGUCUACGAAUUAGUAACGCGUGAUCCUGAUAGAAAGAAGAGAUAGCCUAGUUCUUAAUCCCCGUAGAAGAGAAGAUGAUGACUCAGAUCAGAAGGCAUAAGGUAUAAGGAGUAAAAAGAGCCUUACGUUCCAUCCCACAAUCAAUUCCCUUAUAUAACUAAAGAAUUUCUAGACUCAACUUCGACCAGUUUGGCUUGGUAAUCCUACAGGCAGUCAAGCUCUGAUACCAACGCUGUCAGGACCCCGACUCAAUGCCACAUCGAUCUAGCAUGUAACACCUCAUAUCACUUUGCGGCCUCACGCACGGUAUUCCCACGGGUGUCGCCUUACCUUAGCCCGGGACCGUUUGCGCCUUUUGGCACACGUAUAUGACAGUGUCGCUAGCAUCCAUAUGAUAAGGAGCCCGGGCUGAUAUGGCUAGUCAUAAACCCAAAGUGGCACAGACUUACAGGGACAAGCAUCCAUGACCCAGCAUCGAAUGUGUCGGUCAUCAGCGAGUGAAUCCAGGCUGUAGCACUGGGCUAGCAGGACUCCGGUGAACCGGGCUGUAGCAGGCUAACAGGACUCCGGUAUUCAUCGCGUGACAUUUCCCCGAAGGGACAGACACAGGAACGAAGAAGGACACAUGCCGGCCAGCCUAAGUGUUCCGGAGCAGUAGCAAGCUACCAUGGCUCGGUGGAAACACUAGGAGACAUUUCCCGGUAAGAGAGGCUACUAAAGAUAAACAACUAGAUGGUCAGAUCCCACACAUACCAAGCAUUUCAAUAACAUACACACAAUAUGCUCGAUAUGUGCAAAUACAACAUGGCAUCACAACAUGACUCUACGACUCAAGUAUUUAAUCAAUAGGCUCCGAGGAGCGAGAUAUUGCAAACAUGGGUCUCAUGACCCAACACUCAGAGCAUACAAGUCAAAGCACAAGCGGAAGCUAUCAUGUCUGGGUACAAACAUCUAUAAAUGAAAAAGGCUGAGAAGCCUGACUAUCUACCAGAUCCUGCCGAGGGCACAAGAUCGUAGCUGAGGUAACAAGCUAAACGUCGAAGUCCAUGCGGAACUACUAGCGAGACCGAAGUCUCUCUGCAAAAACAUAAAAUAGGCAAACGUGAGUACAAAUGUACCCAGCAAGACUUACAUCAAAACUAUCUACAUAUGCAUCAUUAUCAACAAGGGGAUGGUGGGGUUUAACUGCAGCAAGCCAGCUUUGACUCGGUGGCUAUCCUAAACUACGACUGCAAGCAACUCUUUGAGGUGGCGCACACGAGUCCACAUAUUCACCAUAUCAAUACACCACUAUGGAUCCACUCCCGUCUCUCUACGAGAAUGCCAUCCAUAGCACUCACGCUUAUCUUGCGUAUUUUAGAGUAUCCACUUUCACUUGUCUAUGAACUGAUAUAAGCAACCCAGAAGUCCUUUUCCGCGGACACGGCUAUUCGAAUAGAUGAUGUUAACCCUGCAGGGGUGUACUUCUUCACACACGCUCUCACCACUUACCGCCGUUUACACGACAUGUACUCGGCAACCUUCAAGCGGAAGCCCAACGUGGGUGUCGGCCACGGCCUACCUAAACACUCAAGUCUCUAGUCCAGGUUUAUCGCCUAUUCGGGUUCCAUCCAUGAGGAGAUCCGGCCGGAGUUUCGCUCACAGCCCCAAACGAUGUGUACAGGGUUCCGUGACACCAAACGGGCGCCCGGUUUACCCGGCCACGUGCCUACCGCAUCACAGCCCACCCCUACGGUCAGCGCUGCGCACGGCCUCCAGCAUACUACAAACACCAGAAACUAAUUGCAACUCCUGGACAGAGGACAAGGGUGAUUAAGAAGCCGAGAGGGUCCAUUGGUUUCGGACCCAAUGCGUGGUAGUAGCUGAAUCAUGGAUCGCAAACACAGAACUCAAUUCCUGAGGACGGCUGCAAUGAGACAACCCACCAUGUACUCCUACAUGGCCUCUCACCGCUACCUUUACCAAAACGUGUUCACACACUUAGCUCACACACAGUAGGACAUGUUCACACGCCUCUGAAUCAUCCCCGAUGAAUCAGACCCGACUCAACUCUAAGCAGUAGCAGGCAUGACAACAAACAUAAAUGAGUAGGCACAUCAGAGCUCAAACAACUCCUACUCAUGCUAGUGGGUUUCAUCUAAUUACUGUGGAAUGACAGGUCAUGCAGAGGAUAAAGGGGUUCAGCUACCGCAGCAAGUAACAGAUGAAUCGAUGUUGUCCUAAUGCAGUAAAAGAGAGCAGGAGCGAGAGAGUGGGAUUGUAUCGGAAUGAACAAGGGGGUUUUGCUUGCCUGGCACUUCUGAAGAUAACAUUGAGUCUUCAUCAGUGUCAACGAUCACAUCAUCGGUAUCACGUCUAUCGAGAGGGGACAAAUACCGGCAACACAGAAGGAAACACAAUCAAUGCAAUGCACAAUAUGAUGCAUGAUCAUGACAUGGCAAAAUGAAUGUGUUUUGGGCUAAUGCAUCUAGCAACAAGUUAAAUGGGGUUGGUUUGAAUACAAGAUUCAAAUUCAAACUCCAUAUGUGAUUAUUCAAAUGCCAUUUAAUUGAUUUGUGCUAAACAGCAGCUAUAAGUUGUUCUAACAUGCAUGAAAAUGGUACAGAUCGAUUCCUUGAAUUUUUCUGAUAAUUUUUCAUAUAUAAUUUAUUUAAUUUGGAGUUACGGUUAAUUUUCUAUGAUUUUUAGAAGUUUUAGGUAUUUUCUGGAAUUUCCUGAAUUUAUUUUAAAUCCAGAAAAUGAUUUAUGGCGUCAGCACCACGUCACUGUGACGUCAGCAGAGUCAACUGGGCGCCCCAGGUCAAACCUGACCAGCGGGGUCCACUGGUCAGUGACACAACUAAUUAACCAAGUUAAUUAGCCUUAAGUUAAUUCUAACUAAACUGUUUGUGGGGCCGGGGCCCACUGGUCAGCGACUAAUCAGCUAACUAACCUAGGUUAAUUAGUGUUAAACUAAUACUAACUAAAAUGUCAGGGGGUGGCCCACACGUCAGUGACACACGGGGAAGGUCAAACCUGGGUCAACUCGCCGGAGUUGAUCCGCGGCUCGUCGCCGGCGGAGCCAGAGACGGCAGAGGGGUGCGGUUUCCCUCCUCCGGCGACCAAAUGGCCCGCGGAGGGCGUCUACGUGACGCAGGCACUCGUCCGCGUCGAGUAGUGGCAGCGGCUGGGCCUAAGAUGGCCGGAGUCGUCACCGGCAUCGACCGUGGCGGUCGCCGGAGCUCGGGCGAGCUCGGGGUCGACGCUAUGGUGGCCGGGGAGGCUCGUGUGAGGCACCUACGUGCUCUAGGCAGCGCGGGGAGGAAGCUGAGCACGACAGCCGGGCCACUAGGUGGCCGGAGGCACGUCGGCGGCGAUCACAGGCGGCGGCGGGUUUCGGUCAUCAAGGGGGCAACGGCUACGGCAAUCAAAUGAAGAGGGGAAGAGGGGGAAACGGUGGCGGAGCUCACAGCGGUGCCGUAGGGAUGGUUAGCCGGCUCGGGGACGUCCUGCGUGCGGCGGAUCGACGACGAUGGUGGCCGGAGCCCGAGGUGGAAGACGACGGCGAUGGCGACGUUGCUGGCCUCCCGGGGUCGCGUGCGUCGUGUGUGUAGCUCCACGGGGUCGGGACGGAGCUCAGGGAUGUGGAGAGGGAGCGAGGGGGUGGCUGUGGCCGUGGGGGAGCUCGUCGGCAGCGGCGGGCGCGUUCGGUGAGGAGAACAGAGGAGGGGGAGAGUGUUCGGGGAAGAGAGAGGGAGCAGCGAGGGAGGAAGAGGAGCGAGGGGACACGAGGCGUCGUCGUGGCGUCGCUAGGGAGACCGGGGGAAGCAGGAGGUGGCCGGGGCAUCGCCAGCGCUCGCCACCGAGCAGCUUCGGUGCGAGGGGAGGAAGACGACAGGAGAAGGGUGGGCUGGGCUGCGCUGGGCCGGUCCUGUUGGGCCACCAGGUGGGCUUCACAGGUAAGUCCAGGUGGUUCUGCUCCUUUUUUUUAAUUCUGUUCUGUUUUCUUUUAUUUAAUCUGUUUUGCCACUAUUUUGAAUUUAAAAAUAAUUCAAGCAAUGCCAAAACUCCUCUGAAAAUAUUUAUGCUGCUUAAUGGACUUUUCCAAAAGCACAUAAAAUGUUUCAGGGUAUUUGGAAAUAUAUUCUAUACAAAUUAUGAAUAUAGUUCCAAAUGCAAAUAAAGUAAUGAUUUAAAUUCAAUGCUCAAAAUAUUCCUCAAAAAUGUUCAUUAUUUUUGGUUUGGUGCAAAACCCUUGCCAAAAUAUAACCAACAUUAUUUAAGGCCAUUUUGAAAACAUUGAAUGCAUUUUCCAGGGUACUUUGCCCCUCUUUUAUUUAAGUUUUUGAGGCUUCCAAAAUUCCUCAGUUCAAGUUUCAGAAAUUUAAAUAUGAUGCCUGGAUGAAGAUGCAACUAUUUACAAACAAUAUUCUAGGGCUGUGACACAGGCUGCAACGGCAUUCAUUACUCCAUACGGACCAUUCUGCUUCAACACAAUGCCCUUCGGACUCAAAAACGCUGGUGCAACAUAUCAGCGCAUGAUUUAGACAUGUCUGGCUACCCAGAUCGGCAAAACAGUGGAGGCAUACAUAGACGGUGUGGUCGUUAAGACCAAACACGUCGAAUCUCUAGUAGACGAUUUGAAGCUCACAUUCGACAACCUCCGAGCAUAUGACAUUAAGCUCAACCCAGAAAAAUGCGUUUUUAGUGUAGCAGCCAGAAAGCUCUUGGGCUUCAUUGUAUGCGGUAGAGGAAUUGAAGCAAACCCAGCCAAGAUCCGAGCUCUGUCACAAUUGGAUAUCCCAAAAGACCUCAAACAAAUACAAAAACUGACUGGAUGCAUGGCGGCUCUAAGCCGCUUCAUCUCCCGUUUGGGAGAAAAGGCAUUGCCUCUCUACCGCCUCCUCCGGCGCAUCGAACACUUCGAGUGGACGGAUGCUGCCACGGUCGGACUCGAAGAAAUAAAGGCCAUAUUAGCAACAAAUCCGGUCCUGGCCGCGCCCAACCUAGGCGAACCAAUGUUAUUAUAUAUCCGGCAACACAUCAAGUUGUAAGCGCAGUGCUCGUCGUCGAAUGAGAAAUAGAAGCACACAAAUUCCCUCUUCAAAAACCAGUGUACUACGUAUCCACUGUCUUAACUCCAUGCAAGUCCUGGUAUCCACAUUAUAAAAAGAUAGCGUAUGCGGUGUUCAUGGCAUCCCGGAAGCUGCAACACUACUUUCAAGAGUGCUCGAUAACAGUGGCCUCCAAAGUACCCCUCAACGACAUUAUAAACAACCGCGACGCAACGGGCAGGAUUGAAAAAUGGGCCAUCGAGCUCUUACCAUUUGACAUAACCUACAAACCACGGCGAGCUAUAAAGUCACAAGUUUUGGCUGACUUCAUCGCCGAAUGGACCGAAGCCGAACUCCCUAAAGAGUACGGCACAUACUCCAAUUGGAUCAUGCAUUUCGACGGCUCCAAAAUGUUGGCCGGCUUGGGGGCUGUCAUUGUAUUGACGUCCCCAACCGGAGACACAGUCCAAUACGUACUUCAGAUAAUGUACACGGACUCCAACAAUGCAGCCGAAUAUGAGGCCCACCUACAUGGUCUCCGGAUGGCAAUCUCCAUGGGUAUUCAACGCCUAGAGGUGCAUGGGGAUUCAAACCUCGCAAUAUCCCAAGUAAAUGGAGACUUUGACGCCAAGGAUCCGAAAAUGGCAGCCUAUCGUAACGCCGUCUUAAAAAUGUCAGUCGAAUUCCACCAUGUAGCUCGGGAUAAUAACCAGGCAGCCGACGUGUUGGCGCGCAUCGGCGCAAAACGCGAUGCCGUCCCUCCAAACAUCUUCCUUGAGCGGCUCUUUAAGCCAUCCGUAUUAUGGGAAGAGGAGUCCAGAAAUAACAACCCAGAACCAACCGCGCCACCCAACACGGAACAUUCUGACAUAGUCGGUGGCUCAGCCAAUGAAAUAACACCCUCGGCCCACGAAAUAAUGGCAGUAAUUGCCCCAUGGACGGAACCAUUCCUAGCCUACUUAACUAGGCAGGAACUUCCCGAAGACCAAAAUGAGGCCCGCUGCAUAGUUCGGCGAUCUAAAGCCUACAAGGUCCAUGAGGGAGAACUUUAUAAGAAAAGCACAACUGGAGUCCUUCAAAGGUGCAUCACCGAAGAGCAAGGGCAAAAUCUCCUGGCUGAAAUUCACGCCGGACUCGGCGGGCACCACGCCGCAGCCCGGGCCCUUGUAGGCAAGGCCUUCCGUACAAGAUUUUAUUGGCCGACUGCCCGGGCAGAUGCUCAGGACUUAGUCCAACGAUGCGUCGGUUGCCAGCUCUUUGCUAAUCAAAGCCACAUGCCACCCACCGCCCUCAAAACUAUACCCAUCACCUGGCCGUUCGUGGUCUGGGGGCUUGACAUGGUUGGACCCCUUAAAGGGGGAACCCACAAGCAAAAAUACCUAUUGGUCAUGGUGGACAAAUUCACCAAAUGGAUAGAAGCCAAGCCAGUUAAAACAGCAGAAUCCGGACCCGUGAUAGACUUCAUAUCCGGGGUAGUACACCGUUAUGGCGUCCCCCAUAGCAUCAUCACUGAUAAUGGCACGAAUUUCACGGCCAACGAGGUUAAACUCUGGUGCAAAAACAUGGGCAUUAGGCUCGAUUACGCUUCAGUCUAUCACCCCCAAACUAACGGUCAAGUCGAACGAGAAAAUGGUCUAAUCAUGAGCGGCAUCAAACCCAGAUUAGUGCGGUCCCUCACGGAAUCUAACAUGCACUGGGUAGAGGAGCUCGACUCCGUACUCUGGGGGCUGCGGACCACGCCGAACUGCACUACUGGAUUCACACCAUUUUUAUGGUGUAUGGCGCAGAGGCAGUUUUGCCCUGUGAUAUAAUUCAUGACUCACCUCAUGUGUGCAUGUACGAAGAAAGAGAAGCCGAGUUUGGACGCCUUAGAGGAGGAGCGGGACGUGGCAAAAGCUCGUUCCGCAUUCUAUCAGCAACAGGCUCGAAGAUAUCAAAGCAGAGAAGUACGGGCCAAAACUUACAAUGUUGGCGAGCUAGUUCUACGCCUGCCGGACAAGAAAAAGGACAAACUUAAGCCCAAAUGGGAAGGUCCCUUCAUCAUCGACCAAGUCCUGACCGGCGGAGCAUACCUGACAACCGACUCGAGCCGAACCCAUGGAACGCAACCCGUCUCCGAAGAUUCUACGCCUAGCGCCGAACUCAGAGUUCGUCUCCUUCCUCCGUCCACCUUUUAUAUUUUCGCUGUCUUUUUGUUCCCCUCUUUUCCCCCCCCUUUUUUUUUAAUAAAAGCCCUUGAGGGCUGAUCUACGCAUUGUUCGCACACACUUGAUGUGCUACUCGCACUCAUUAUACCUGGGGGCUUCUUUAACAAAAGCUUAUUUAUACGGGCUUCAUGCCCAACACAUGUGUCAUACUUCUGCAUGUACCUUUUAUUCACCAUUAUAUGCAUCGAUAUGACUUAAGUUUUGGCCAAGCUGGGUUGCUUGGCUCCUGUGCUUACCCCUACGUCCCCGAUUGUUCGGCUAGGAGGUAAAGGGAGCACCUCUGCAAUUGUUACUGCCGGGUCAGCCGGAUGUGUACCUCAGACUGGGUGAAGCUGAAAGCUAGCGUUCUUAAGGGAAUAUUCGGUCGGUGACUUGAAAGAUGAUUUAUUACUUAUUUAUUUAUCUGCCCCCAGAUGCUUUUUAUGCUCUCUUCGCAGUACGGACAUGCACCUCAGGGCAUGCCUCCCAGGGAAAGGAACCCCUAACGGAACUAUUCUCCCUGGAAGAUGUUUCUUACUAACCAUGUAAUAUAACAUAACUAGUUGGGCACUUGUCUGAUAAAGCACUAAUGACCCCUACGCCUGGUCUCCAUGCAUGCCCCGGUUUUUAUAUAACCGAUAGGGUAUUCGGACACACUCCGGACUGUUGGGUCCCGAGGUUGAAGCGAAAAGGUCCGCAAAGACAAACGAUCUACAAUCCGGCUAGAAGGUAUUUUACAUGUCAUUUUAAAAUUACAUUGUCAAACCGACUGAUUGAACUCCUCUUCAAUCCCAUCUAACAGGCUGUCUAGUUUACAGUCCCGUUGGGAAUAUUUCGCGGCCAACUCUACUUGGCCGUACAUUAGGAUCACAGGGAUCUCCUUCCCAUCAGGCCCCACAGGUCCGACCUCGGCCAUGUGGCUUGGAUCAGCCUUCGUGUACCGUGUCUUCACCAUGGCCCAAGCCUCCCUGGCGCCUUGACGGCAGGCCGAUAUCUUCCACAGACGGAAGUGCUGCCGUACUCCCUGAAGCUUCUCAGCAAGCCCUCCAAGACCCUCGGGUAGGGAGACGGACGGCCAUAAGGCCUGAACGACGCCGCUCAUCGCCUGCCGAAUAUGUUCGUGCAGUUGCAGCAGCUCGGGAAGAAGGUCACCCAUGGAACCAGGCAUUUCCUCCGCCGGACGGCCCGUGAGCACACCUACAGAAAUAUUUCUGUCAAUCGACUUCCUCGCCGAAAUCUUCUUUUCAAAAGAGUUUGCUCAAGCACUUACUAUAAAUGCCGCGACGAAGCCGCCGAUUCUCCUUUACGGAGUCAGACAGCUGGACCCGAACAUCUUUUAGUUCUUCGCCCAGCUGGGUGUUAGCAUCCUGGAGUUUGUUUCUCUCCUGCUGCACCCUCAUAAGCACCUUCUCGCCGGCCUUCAGCUGGCGCAGCAGAUGUUGCUUGUCCGGUUCCAGUCCGGCACCCUCUGCAAUAUUAUUGUCAGACUUACGCACACGCCACACUUCAUAAACUAUUUAUCUUUUUGAAGUAUGUAUUACCAGAGGGGGUCUCUGUGGCUCCCCCUGCGGCGGCUAGCACAGCCUCAAGUUGGGCCUUGCACUCUUGAAGCUCCUGGGACAGACAUGUAUUCUUCUCUGUAAGAUCCUGCAUAACAAAUGAUCCUUAAAUCAGUUAUUUUAACUAUUUUAAGUCUCGGGGCUACUGGCAUAUAUAACUAUUAAAAUUCCUCACCCGUAUGUCUUUAACAUACUGCUCCGUGGCUCUGGUUAGACCAUCUCGAGCGGCACAGAGGUGCGCGUCUCCCGCAUUAAAGGCAUUCAGUGCCUCCGGAGAGAAACACACGUCACGAAGAACCGUCCGGCGGCGCAUGUGAUUCAUGGCGCUCUCCACCUCAGACCUGGUGGCGGACAGCCUGUCGGCAUAUUCCAUUGGAGGAGCAUCCGGCUCAUGCCUUGUGUUCGCCUCCCCUUCCGGACCACGCAUUGGAGCAUGGCUGGCGGAGGCUUGAUUGGCAACCUCUCUGGACACUGUCCGGCGAGCACUCUUUCUCCUGGAAAAAUCAUGAGCGUUAAUAUACCUCCUAGGAACCUUUCCCUCAAAAACGGCGGUGCACCGUACCGUUGCGGCGACGUUUCGAUUCGCGCCGCACUCUUCCGCCUGCUGGGCCGAACUGACCCUUGUUGGUCAGCCGUCGCGGGUUCGGCUUCCCGCCUUAAAGGCGCCUCCUGCGGAGCACCAUUGGUAUACGGUGGUCAGAAAUGAGCAUGGACCAAGUAAUGAUGUCAGGGCUCCGGUCGUAGUCACCUGGGAAGCCGGAGAUAAACCGGGGUAGUCAGCCGUAAUGGCGACUAGAGCAUUGUCCAUGCUAAGUUGGUGGAACACUCCGUCAAUCAGCUCCACCUCUAUGUCCGAAUCCUCUUCGGAGGCCGGAUCAAGGGAUCGUCCUGGGUCCUCGGGCUGUGGAGUCAGGCUUUGUAUGCCCUCCACGUCCCGACGCAGCUCCUGCGUCAAAAUCACAAAGUGGGACACUUGACUUUGGAAAUAUGGAUCGGGUAGAUAAACGUCCACUUACCCAGCUCCGAGGGUUAUUCAUGGAGAAUCCAUUCAAUGGACUCAUGCGGAGGAAGUCCUCCUUCUCCCCCUUGUACAAGCCGGACAGGAUCAUCACCAGAUCGGCGGCCGAUCCCGGCCCCUUGCGGCCAUGACGGGUGGCGUCAUCCUCCCCGUUGAAAUCCCACAUGGGGUGGCCCCUAUAUUGGAGCAGCUGCACCCCUCGCAUAAUGCACGUGGCCAUGACUCCAAUCAUGGUCAAUCCGGAGUGGGCCAGUAACCUUAUCCAGCCCAUCAGAUAUUGGACGCUCCCACCAUCUUCCCGUUGAGGGCUCCGCGGGCGCCAACUCAGGCGUUUCUUCAAGGGAGCGUUGCUUAACUCUGGGAGGCCGAUCCGAACUGGAUCUGGCAGAGGGGCGUCUUCCAUAUAAAACCAUGCCGAAGGCCAAUCUUCGGACGCCUUCUUCGGGGUUCCAGAUAGAUAUCCGGUCCCGGCGAUGCGCCAUAUUUCGGCUCCGCCCACUUGAUAUAUCGACCCCUCGUGAGAACGGGGUACGAGGCAAAACAAUCUCUUCCACAACGCAAAAUGGGGCUCGAUGCCCAAGAACAGCUCGCAAAGGGCUACAAAGCCCGCGAUGUGCAAGAUAGAGGCAGGUGUAAGGUGAUGAAGCUGGAGUCCAUAGAACUCCAGGAGCCCUCGGAGAAACGGAUGUAUGGGAAAUCUGAGUCCCCUUAUUAGGUAGGGGAUGAAGCAUACCCGCUCUCCUUUGGAGGGAUUGGGGACGCUCUCCGCCUGCUUCCCACCCUUGUAGGUGGCCAGCCCGGCUCGAACCGGAACCAUAAAGGCUGGGGGAAGGUAUCCCUCUGCUUGGAGCAUUACUAACUCGCUAUGCGGGACUGAACAUCUCCUCCAAUCUCCUGGCUGAGGGCUGGGAGCAUGAGAGGAGGAGCCGCGUCGACUAUCCAUGAUGGAAUGGAUUUUUGUCAGAGGCGCUUCGAUGAGUACUUGCGGAAGGAGGAUGGGGUGAUUCGGAUCUAGAUCCUCGCCUCUCUUAUAGGCAGCUUAUUCAUGCAGCUAGGGGGUAAAACGUAAGAAUACCCUGGUGUCAGUGUCAAAACCGGCGGAUCUCGGGUAGGGGGUCCCGAACUAUGCGUCUAGGCGGAUGGUAACAGGAGACAAGGGACACGAUGUUUUACCCAGGUUCGGGCCCUCUUGAUGGAGGUAAAACCCUACGUCCUGCUUGAUUAAUAUUGAUGAUGUGUGUUACAAGAGUGGAUCUACCACGAGAUCAAGGAGGCUAAACCCUAGAAGCUAGCCUAUGGUAUGAUUGUUGUUCGUCCUAUGGACUAAAGCCAUCCGGUUUAUAUAGACACCGGAGAGGGCUAGGGUUACACAAAGUCGGUUACAAUGGUAGGAGAUCUACAUAUCCGUAUCGCCAAGCUUGCCUUCCACGCCAAGGAAAGUCCCAUCCGGACACGGGACAAAGUCUUCAAUCUUGUAUCUUCAUAGUCUUGGAGUCCGGCCGACCAUGAUAGUUCGGCUAUCCGGACACCCCCUAGUCCGGGACUCCCUCAGUAGCCCCCAAACCGGGCUUCAGCGACGACGAGUCCGACGCGUAUAUUGUCUUCGGCGUUGCAAGACGGGUUCUCCUUCAAACUUCAUGUUCCUGUCGAAUUGUGUCCGGCUUCCUUAUAAAUGUUGCGCUCCUUGGCUUCUACGCCCAAUAAUGGCCUUCUUCCACAUGUCGUAUGAAUGCGGAAGGCUGGGGUAUUUUUACAUUUUACCCCCUAGCCGUGCGAAUGAGCCGCUUAUAAGAGAGGCGAGGAUCUAGAUCCAGCUCACACCAUCCUCCAUCCGCAAGUUCUCAUCGAAGCGCCUCUGACCAAAAUCCAUUCUAUCAUGGAUAGUCGACGCGGCUCCUCCUCUCGCGCUCCCAGCCCUAAGCCAGGAGAUUGGGGGAGAUGCUCAGUUCCACACAGCGCUCCAAACUGAGGGAUAUCUUCCCCCAGCUUUCAUGGUCCCGGUUCGAGCCAGACUGGCGACCUUUAGGGGUGGAAAGCAGGCGGAGAGCGUCCCCAACCCUUCCAAAGGAGAGCGGGUAUGCUUUGUCCCUUAUCUAAUAAGGGGACUCGGAUUUCCCAUACAUCCGUUUCUCCGGGGGCUCCUGGAGUUCUACGGACUCCAGCUUCACCACCUCACACCUGCCUCCAUUUUGCACAUCACAGGCUUCGUAGCUCUUUGCGAGCUGUUCCUGGGCGUCAAGCCCCAUUUUGCACUGUGGAAGAGAUUGUUUUGCCUCGUACCCCAUUCUCACAAGGGGUCGAUAUAUCAAGUGGGCGGAGCCGAAAUAUGGCGCAUCGCCGGGACCGGAUAUCUAUCCGGCACCCCGAAGAAGGUGUCUGAAGACUAGCCUUCGGAAUGGUUCUACAUGGAGGACGCCCCUCUGCUGGAUCCAGUUCGAAUCGGCCUCUUGGAGUUCAGCAAUGCUCCCUUGAAGAAACGCCUGAGUUGGCGCCCGCGGAGCCCUCAACGGGAAGAUGAUGGGAGCGUCCAUUAUCUGAUGGGCCGGAUUAGGUUACUGGCCCACUCCGGAUUGACCAUGAUUGGAAUCAUGGCCACGUGCAUUAUGCGAGGGGUGCAGCCACUCCAAUAUAGGGGCCACCCUAUGUGGGAUUUCAACGGGGAAGAUGACGCCACCCGUCAUGGCCGCAAAGGGCCAGGCUCGGCAGCCGAUCUGGCAAAGAUCCUGUCCGGCUUGUACAAGGGAGAGGAGGAGGACUUCCUCCGCACGAAUCCAUUGAAUGGAUUCUCUAUGAAUAACCCUCGGAGUUGGGUAAGCGGAUAUUCAUCUACCCGAUCCAUAUUUUCAAAGUCAAGUAUCUUACUCUGUGAUUUCGACGCAGGAGCUGUGCCGGGACGUGGAGGGCAUACGAAGCCUAACUCCACAGCCCGAGGAUCCAGAACGAUCCCUUGAUCCAACCUCUGAAGAGGAUCCGGACAUAAAGGUGGAGCUGAUUGAUGGGGUGUUCCACCAACUUAGCAUGGACAAUGCCCUAGUCGCCAUUAUGGCUGACUACCCCGGUUUGUUUCCGGCCUCCCAGGUGACUACGACUGAGGUCUUGACACCAUCAUUUGAUCCGCGCUCAAUUCUGACCAUUCUAUACUGGUAGUGCAUCGCAGGAGGUGCCUUUAAGGCGGGAAGCUGAACCCGCGGCGGCUGACCAACAAGGGUUAGUUCGGCCCAGCAGGCGGAAGAGGAGUGCGAUGCGAACCAAAACGUCGCCGCAACGGUACGGAGCACCGCUAUUCUUAAGGGAAGGAUCCCUAGGAGGUAUAUUAAUGCUCAUAACUUUUCCAGAAAGAGCGCUCGCCGGACAGUGUCCGGAGAGGUUGCCAAUCAAGCCUCCGCCAGCCAUGCUCCAACGCAUGGUCCGGAAGGGGAGGCGAAUACACGGCAUGAGCCAGACACUCCUCCGAUGGAGGAUGCCGACAGGCUGUCCACCACCCGGUCUGAGGUGGAGAGCGCCAUGAAUCACAGGCGUCGCUGGACAGUUUUUCGUGACGCGUGUUUCUCCCCGGAGGCGUUAAAUGCCUUUGAUGCGGGAAACGCGCACCUCCGUGCCGCUCAAGAUGGGUUAACCAGAGCCACGGAGCAGUAUGUGAAAGACAUAUGGGUAAGUAAUUUUAAUAGUUAUAUAUGCCAGUAGCCCAUGAGACUUAAAAUAGUUAAAAUAACUGAUUUAAGGAUCAUUUAUUAUGCAGGAUCUUACGGAGAAGAAUACCCACCUGUCCCAGGAGCUCCAAGAGUGCAAGGCCCAACUUGAGGCCGCACUGGCCGCCACAGGGGGAGCCACAGAGACCCCCACUGGUAAGACAUACUUCGAAAAGAUAAGUAAUGAACAAAGUGCGAUGUGUGCGUAAAUCUGACAAUAAUAUUGCAGAGGGCACCGGACUAGAUCCGGACAAGCAACAACUACUGUGUCAGCUAAAGGCCGGCGAGAGGGUGUUUAUGAAGGUGCAGCAGGAGAGGAACAAGCUCCAAGAUGCCCCCAUCCAGCUAGGAGAAGAGCUGAAAGAUGUUCGGGCCCAGCUGUCUGGCUCCGUGAAGGAGAAUCAGCGGCUUCGUCGCGGCAUUUAUAGUAAGUGCUUGAGCAAAUUCCUUUGAAAAGAAGAAUUCGGCGAGGAAGUCGAUUGACAGAAAUGUGUCUUUAGAUGUGCUCACAGGUUGCCCUGCGGAGGGAAUGCCUGGUUCAACGGGUGACCAACUUCCCGAGCUGGUGCAACUGCUCGAACGUGUUCGGCAGGCGAUGAGUGGCGUCGUUCAGGCUUUAUGGCCUUCCGUCUCCCUACCCGAGGGCCUUGGAGGGCUUGCUGAGAAGCUUCAGGGAGCACGGCGACACCUCCGUCUGUGGAAGAUAUCAGCCUGCCGUCAAGGCGCCAGGGAGGCCUGGGCCAUGGUGAAGACGCGGUACCCAAAGGCUGACCCAAACCACAUGACCGAGGUCGGACCUGCGGGGCCUGAUGGGAAAGAGAUCCCUGUGAGCUUGAUGUCCGGCCAAGUAGAAUUGGCCGCGAAAUAUUCCCAACAGGACAGUAAAUUAGACAGCCUGUUAGAUGGGAUUGAAGAGGAGUACAACCAGUCAGUUUGACGAUGUAAUUUGAAAUUACAUGUAAAAUGCCUUCUAGCCGGAUUGUAGAUUGUUUGUCUUUGCGGACCUUUUCGCUUCAACCUCGGGACCCAACAGUCCGGAGUGUGUCCGAAUACCCUUACGGUUAUAGAAGAACCGGGGCAUGCGUGGAGACAAGGCAUCAGGGUCAUAAUUGCUUUAUCAGACAAGUGCCCAACUAGCUAUGUUAUAUUACAUGGUUAGUAAGAAACAUCUUCCAGGGAGAAUAGUUCCGUUAAGGGUUCCUUUCCCUGGGAGGCAUGCCCUAAAGUGCAUGUCCGGUCUGCGAAAAUAGCAGAAAAAGCAUCUAGGGGCAGAUAAAUAAGUAAGUAAUAAAUCAUCUUUCAAGUCACCGACCGAAUAUUCUCUUAAGAACGCUAGCUUUCAGCUUCACCCAGUCUGAGGUACACAUCCGGCUGACCCGGCAGUAACAAUCGCAGAGGUGCUCCCUUUACCUCCUAGCCGAACAAUCGGGAACGUAGGGGUAAGCACAGGAGCCAGGCAACCCAGCUUGGCCAAAACUUAAGUCAUAUCGAUGCAUAUAAUGGUGAAUAAAAGGUACAUGCGGAAGUAUGACACAUGUGUUGGGCAUGAAGCCCGUAUAAAUAAGCUUCUGUUAAAGAAGCCCCCAGGUAUAAUGAGUGCUAGGAGCACAUCAAGUGUGUGCGAACAAUGCGCAAAUCAGCCUAUAAAAGGUAUUGACAAGAAAAAAAGUGGGAAGAAGGAGGGGGACAAGAGACAGUGAAAAUGUAAAAAGGUGGAUGGAGGAGUGAGACGAACUCUGAGUCCGGCGUUAGGCGUAGAAUCUUCGGAGACGGGCUGUGUUCCAUGGGUUCGGCUCGAGUCGGUUGUCAGAUGCGUUACGUAGACGGUAUGCUCUGCCGGUCAGGACUUGGUCGAUGAUGAAGGGGCCUUCCCACUUGGGCUUGAGUUUGUCCUUUUUCUUGUCCGGCAGGCGUAGAACAAGUUCGCCAACAUUGUAAGUUUUGGCCCGUACUUCUCUGCUUUGAUAUCUUCGAGCCUGCUGCUGAUAAAAUGCGGAACGAGCUUUUGCCACGUCCCGCUCCUCCUCUAAGGCGUCCAAACUGUCCUGCUGAUCCAACUCGGCUUCUCUUUCUUCGUACAUGCGCACGCGAGGUGAGUCAUGAAUUAUAUCGCAGGGCAGAACUGCCUCUGCGCCGUAUACCAUGAAAAAUGGUGUGAAUCCAGUAGUUCGGUUUGGCGUGGUCCGCAGCCCCCAGAGUAUGGAGUCGAGCUCCUCUACCCAGUGCGUGUUAGAUUCCUUGAGGGACCGCACUAGUCUGGGUUUGAUGCCACUCAUGAUUAGACCAUUUGCUCGCUCGACUUGACCCUUAGUUUGGGGGUGAUAGACUGAAGCGUAGUCGAGCUUGAUGUCCAUGUUUUUGCACCAGAGAUUAACCUCGUCAGCCGUGAAAUUCGUGCCGUUAUUCAUGAUGAUGCUGUGGGGGACGCCAAAACGGUGUACUACCCCGGAUAUGAAGUCUAUCACAGGUCCGGAUUCUGCCGUUUUAACCGGCUUGGCCUCAAUCCAUUUGGUGAAUUUGUCCACCAUGACCAAUAAGUAUUUGUGCUUGUGGGUUCCUCCUUUAAGGGGUCCAACCAUGUCAAGCCCCCAGACUACAAACGGCCAGGUGAUGGGUAUAGUUUUGAGGGCGGUGGGUGGCAUGUGGCUCUGGUUAGAAAAGAGCUGGCAACCGACACAUCGUUGGACUAAGUCCUGAGUAUCUGCCCGGGCUGUUGGCCAAUAAAAUCCUGUACGGAAGGCCUUGCCUACAAGGGCCCGGGCUGCAGCGUGGUGCCCGCCGAGUCCGGCGUGAAUUUCAGCCAGGAGAUUUCGCCCUUCCUCUUCGGAGAUACACCUUUGAAGGACUCCGGUUGUGCUUUUCUUAUAAAGUUCUCCCUCAUGGACCUUGUAGGCUUUAGAUCGCCAAACUAUGCAGCGAGCCUCAUUUUGGUCUUCAGGAAGUUCCUGCCUGAUUAGGUAGGCUAGGAAUGGUUCCGUCCACUGGGCAAUUACUGCCAUUAUUUCGUGGGCUGAAGGUGUUAUUUCAUUGGUUGAGCCGCUGAUUGUGUCAGAAUUGUCUGAGUUAGGUGCUGCAGCUGGUUCCGGAUUGUUAUUUCCGGACUCCUCUUCCCAUAAUACGGAUGGCUUAAAGAGCCGUUCCAGAAGAUGUUUGGAGGGACGGCGUCGCGUUUUACGCUGAUGCGUGCCAACACGUCUACUGCCUGGUUGUUAUCCCGGGCUACAUGGUGGAAUUCGAGUCCUUCGAACUGAGCUGACAUUUUUAGGACGACGUUGCGGUAAGCUGCCAUUUUUGGAUCUUUGGCAUCAAAGUCUCCGUUUACUUGGGAUAUUGCGAGGUUUGAAUCCCCGCGCACCUCGAGGCAUUGAAUGCCCAUGGAGAUUGACAUCCGAAGACCGUGUAGAAGGGCCUCGUAUUCGGCUACGUUGUUGGAGUCCAUGUACAUUAUUUGAAGUACAUAUUGGACUGUGUCUCCAGUUGGGGACAUCAAGACGAUGCCAGGCCCCAAGCCAGCCAACAUUUUGGAUCUGUCGAAAUGCAUGAUCCAAUUGGAGUAUGCGCCAUACUCUUUAGGGAGUUCGGCUUCGGUCCAUUCGGCGACGAAGUCAGCCAGAACUUGCGAUUUUAUAGCCCGCCGUGGUUUGUAGGUUAUGUCAAAUGGUAAGAGCUCAAUGGCCCAUUUUUCAAUCCUGCCCAUUGCGUCGCGAUUGUUUAUAAUAUCGUUGAGAGGUACUUCAGAGGCCACCGUUAUGGAACACUCUUGAAAGUAGUGUUGCAGCUUCCGGGAUGCCAUGAACACCGCAUACGCUAUCUUUUGAUAAUGUGGGUACAGGGACUUGCAUGGAGUUAGGACAGUGGAUACAUAGUACACUGGUUUUUGGAGAGGGAAUCUGUGCCCUUCUGUUUCUCGUUCGACGACGAGUACCGCACUGACAACUUGAUGUGUUGCUGCGAUAUAUAAUAACAUAGGUUCGCCCAGGUUGGGCGCAGCCAGGACCGGAUUUGUUGCCAGUAUGUCUUUUAUUUCUUCGAGUCCGGCUAUGGCAGCAUCCGUCCAUUCGAAAUGUUCGGUGUGCCAGAGGAGGCGAUAGAGGGGCAAAGCCUUUUCUCCCAAACGGGAGAUGAAGCGACUUAAAGCCGCUAUGCAUCCGGUUAGUUUUUGUAUUUGCUUGAGGUCUUUUGGAAUAUCCAAUUGUGACAGAGCUUGGAUUUUGGAUGGGUUUGCUUCAAUUCCUCUACUGGAUACAAUGAAGCCCAAGAGUUUUCCGGCUGGUACUCCGAAGACGCAUUUUUCCGGGUUGAGCUUAAUGUCAUAUGCUCGGAGGUUGUCGAAUGUCACCCUCAAGUCUUGGACUAGAGUUUCGACAUGUUUGGUCUUGACGACCACAUCGUCUAUGUAUGCCUCUACUAUUUUGCCUAUCUGGGUAGCCAGACAUGUCUGAAUCAUGCACUGAUAUGUUGCGCCGGCGUUUUUGAGUCCGAAGGGCAUUGUGUUGAAGCAGAAUGGCCCGUAUGGAGUAAUGAAUGCCGUUGUGGCCUGGUCUUUCUCUGCCAUCUUGAUUUGAUGGUAUCCGGAGUAUGCGUCGAGGAAGCACAAUGAAUCGUGCCCUGCAGUAGCAUCGAUGAUUUGGUCGAUGCGAGGGAGAGGGAAAGGGUCCUUUGGACAGGCCUUGUUAAGGUCUUUGAAAUCGACGCAGAGGCGCCAGGAUUUGUCCUUUUUGGGUACCAUUACUAGAUUGGCUAGCCAGUCCGAAUGUUUUAUAUCUCUGAUGAAUCCGGCUUCUAAGAGUUUGGCUAGCUCCUCUCCCAUUGGCUGUCCUUUGGGUUCGGAAAAUCGCCGAAGAGCUUGUUUGACUGGCUUGAAUCCUUUUAGGAUAUUUAGGCUGUGCUCUGCCAGCCCGCGUGGGAUUCCUGGCAUGUCUGAAGGGUGCCAGGCAAAAAUGUCCCAAUUUUCCCGAAGGAAUUCUCGUAGUGCGGCUUCGACAUCAGGACUUAAUUGUGCCCCAAUGGAGGCCGUCUUUGUGGGGUCCGUUGGAUGGACCUGAAAUUUGACUAUUUCGUCUGCUGGUUUAAAAGAGGUGGACUUGGACCUCUUAUCAAGUAUCACAUCGUCCCUAUCCACCGUGGAGCGCAGUGUGGUUAGUUCCUCUGCCGCUAGGGCUUCAGACAAUGCCUCUAGGGCCAGUGCGGCUGUCUUAUUUUCAGUGCGUAGUGCUGUAUCUGGAUCGCUUGCGAGAGUGAUUAUUCCAUUGGGUCCGGGCAUUUUGAGCUUCAUGUACCCGUAAUGGGGUAUAGCUUGGAAGAUUGUGAAUGCCUCUCGCCCUAACAAAGCGUGAUAUCCGCUGCCAAAUGGGGCCACUUGGAACGUGACCUCUUCGGACCUGUAAUUGUCCGUGAGCCGAACACUACAUCGAGUGUGAUUUUUCCUGUGCAGCGUACUUCUCAACUAGGAAUUAUUCCCCUGAAGGUUAUGCUGCUUCGCUCAACGCGGCUCCAGUCAAUUUCCAUUUUUUGAAGGGUUUCCUCGUAGAUGAGGUUUAAUCCGCUGCCGCCAUCCAUGAGUACCUUAGUAAGAUGGAAACCGUCCACUAUCAGACUGAGGACCAAUGCGGCUGGUGCUCUAGCUGUUCGGAAUUUAGGUUCGUCGUUGGCAUUGAAGGUGAUAGCCGUGUUGCUCCAUGGAUUUGUUGUUGCUACUUGGUAGACUUCGGCGAGGCUGUGGAUUGUUCGUUUCUGCAUGUUAUUUGAUGUGAAAGUCUCGAAGACUGUUAAUACCGUACUGGUACUGUUGGGUUGGUUGCCCGGGGCUAAAAAGCCUUCGCCACUUUUGUCCACCUGCCGUAGUAUCCAACAUGCUCGAAGGCUAUGUGUUGGAGUGGUGCCCUCCGUACUGUGGAUUUUGCAGGGUCCGUUGAGCCAUCCCUCCAGUACGGUUCCGUACCCUUUAGGGGGUUUUUGCUUUUUGGUUUUUAACCCAGAUGCUUGUAUAUAACGCACCCUUUUAUUUCGGACUGGGGUUGUAUUCAGGGCCGGAUUGUCCCAAAACCUAGUUUCGGUUUUCCAGGCACUCUCCAUCGCGCAGUAUUUUUGUACAAUGGUCGCUAGGUCAGUGAAGCGUGUAACUUUGCGACGACUGAUGGAGUUUAUGAUUCCCUUGUCUGUGCAGUUGUUGCAGAAGAUUGAAAUCGCGCUCUCUUCACGGCAGUCCUGUAUCCUGUUCAUAACCAGGAGGAAUCUAACCAAUAAUGAUGUACUGUUUCAUCGGGCUCUUGCCGUAUUUGAGAUAGAUUGCUUAUGUUUGGGUGGGCGGGUGGAAUUAAGUCCGGAACCCCGCCCGAUCUGAGGCUCAAGGGCCAAGAAGCUUCCGGAUUCGGAAGCUUGGCUUGCUGAACGCUUUCCAACAAAUCUGGUCCGAUGCCUGAUUUUAGGUUCAGCAUUUGAUUAGCGUCCAUCCCUCCGCGGAAAUCCGGCAUGGAGGGAUCGGGAAUCCGGACAUAGUUGGUUUUUAACAUAGAAGAAGAGUCGCUGCAUUGUUCCUCUACCACAACAACGUGGUGGGUAACCUGGGGAGAGUUGAUUUCUCUUAGAUCGGUUUUAAGCCCGAUCAGAUCGUAGUUGGUAGCGACUCCCAGGGCGGCGAUGCGAUCCAAGAGCUCGUUGACCGAGGAGAGCUCGAUUGGAUCUAGCUGCUCGGUGAAUUCCAAGCUGACGUGAAGAUCACUUUUAAUGACCUGAGAGGUCAUUGUCGGAGCGGUGGCCGAACAGGCGGUCAUGAGAAAACUGCCUAGCUGGAUAGUCUGGCCGGCGGCCAAAGCUCCCUUGACGACGGUGCCGUCUUUAAAGACGGGAAAAGGCAUCCUUCCUGAUGGUGACGGCACAGAGGAACUCUCAAUGAAAGCACCAAUGUCGGUGUCAAAACCGGCGGAUCUCGGGUAGGGGGUCCCGAACUGUGCGUCUAGGCGGAUGGUAACAAGAGACAAGGGACACGAUGUUUUACCCAGGUUCGGGCCCUCUUGAUGGAGGUAAAACCCUACGUCCUGCUUGAUUAAUAUUGAUGAUGUGUGUUACAAGAGUGGAUCUACCACGAGAUCAAGGAGGCUAAACCCUAGAAGCUAGCCUAUGGUAUGAUUGUUGUUCGUCCUAUGGACUAAAGCCAUCCGGUUUAUAUAGACACUGGAGAGGGCUAGGGUUACACAAAGUCGGAUACAAUGGUAGGAUAUCUACAUAUCCGUAUCACCAAGCUUGCCUUCCACGCCAAGGAAAGUCCCAUCCAGACAAGUGACGAAGUCUUCAAUCUUGUAUCUUCAUAGUCUUGGAGUCCGGCCGACCAUGAUAGUUCGGCUAUCCGGACACCCCCUAGUCCGGGACUCCCUCACCUGGCUUUUCGCAUUCAUACGACACGUGGAAGAGGGCCAUUACUGGACGUGUAAGCCAAGGAGCACAACAUAUAUAAGGAAGCCGGACACUAUUCGGCAAACACAUAGAAUAUGGAGGAGAACCCGCCUUGCAACGCCGAAGACAAUAUGUGCGCCGGGCUCGUCGUCAUUGAAGCCUGGUUCGGGGGCUACUGAGGGAGUCCCGGAUUAGGGGGUGUCCGGAUAGCCGAACUAUCAUCAUCGGCCGGACUCCAAGAUUAUGAAGAUACAAGAUUGAAGACUUCGUCCCGUGUCCGGAUGGGACUUUCCUUGGCGUGGAAGGCAAGCUUGGCGAUGCGAAUAUGUAGAUCUCCUACCAUUGUAACCGACUCUGUGUAACCCUAGCCCUCUCCGGUGUCUAUAUAAACCGGAUGGUUUUAGUCCGUAGGACAUAACAACAAUCAUACCAUAGGCUAGCUUCUAGGGUUUAGCCUCCUUGAUCUCGUGGUAGAUCUACUCUUGUAAUACCCACAUCUUCAAUAUCAAUCAAGCAGGACGUAGGGUUUUACCUCCAUCAAGAGGGCCCGAACCUGGGUAAAACAUCGUGUCCCUUGUCUCCUGUUACCAUCCACCUAGACGCACAGUUCGGGACCCCCUACCCGAGAUCCGCCGGUUUUGACACCGACAAAUGGGUUCAACUACCACAGCCCAAAGUAGCAGAUGAAUCGUUGUUGUCCUAAUGCAAUAACUGAGAGCAGGAGCGAGAGAGUAGGAUUGUAUCAGAAUGAACAAGGGGGUUUGCUUGCCUGGUAGAUCAACAAGGGGGCACUGCUCCUCAGACAGGUACUCUAGAACGGUCUCCGGAGCAGGACCUAUCGAGAAGGAAUGGUGUCGACAAUCAAAACACAAUCAUAUGCAACAACAUGAUGUAUGAACAUGGCAUGUAGUUGUGAUGUUGUUUGAGCUAAUGCAGCUAGCAUUCUAUUUGGAUGAAGUCCAUUUGAAUCAACGAUCAAAUGCAAUUCCAAGUAAGCUCUUUAUAAAUGCCAUUUUAGUGUUUCACUUAUACAGUAGGUAUAAGUUGGUUUGUCAUGCAUGAAACUAGUACAGAUGGAAAGAUUGCAUUUUUCUGAUAAUUUUUCAUAUAUAAAAUUAUUUUAAUCUGAGCUACAGUUGAAUUUCUAUGAUUUUUUGAAGUUUAUAAUAUUUUCUGGAAUUUCCUGGAUUAUAUUAAAUCCAGAAAAUGAUUAACUGCGUUAUCCUAGCGUCAUGCUGACCUCAGCAGGUCAACGGGCCUGGUCCAGGUCAAACCUCACCAGUGGGGCCCACUGGUCAGUGACUCACUAGGCAAACCCGAUCAAAUCCAGCGCUGACUGGGUUUGACCGGUGGUGGGGCCCGCUGUCAGUGGCAGUGAGGUGGCUAAUUAGGUGGGGUUAGUCCUAAUGACGCGCCACAUCAGCACCCGCCGGAGCACGGCCGGCGACGACCAUAUCACGCGGCGGAGGCUCACCAGAGUGGCUCGGGACGGUGCUACAGAGGGUAGUUUGCGAUGGGGUUUGGCUCUACGGGGAACUGGAGGAGUGGCGCAUCCACUGGUGGCAGCGACUGGAGCUGGGGUGUCCUGUAGCAGCGGCAACGGCGAGUUGGGCGGCGGCCGGAGUUCAUCCAGGUGUGCGCGGGGUGCUGCGGGGCACGGCAGGAGCUGUGGGUGGCGGCGUUGGUCUUCUGGGAGGUUGCUGAGUGCGAUGACGUGCGCGGGUAUGAGCUGCGGUGGCCCUGGCCACGCCGGUGACAUGGCCGGCGGCGUUGCGCUUGCGAGUUCAACUACUAGCAGGGCUACGGCACGAAAUCGGGCACGGGGAAGGAGGGGAAACGAAGGAGAGCUCACAUAGGUCUCUACGGCGUCGAUGACGAGCUCGGGGAAGGCCGGAGCUGAGCGGGGCGGCGAGGCGGAUCUCCGGCGUCGGGAGGUUGAAGACGAGCUUGGUGAGGCCAUUCGGGGGCUUCUGGUGCCGUGUGGCUCGGCGGAGAGGGCUAGAGCGACUAGGCGGAUCUUCCGGGUGCAGCGGCAGGGCGAGGGAUGGCCGGUGGCCGCGGUGGUGCUCGUCAGCGGCGGCGGGCGCGUUCGGACGCGAGAGAGAAAGCGAGGGAGAGGAGAGGAGAGGACCGGGGGAGAGUGAGAGGGGUAAGGGGCGGUGCGUGGCAUCACGCGGGGCAUCCAGAGCGACGAGAGGGAGGACAUGCAGGCAGGGAGGGAGGAGGUGGCGCGGCGCGGCGGUGCGCGCGCGUCGGGCACACGCCCGUCCUCCUGGUAGGAGGAAGACGACAUGGGAGGAGGCGGGCUGGGCCAUCUGCUGGGCUGCGCAGUGCUGGGCCAGCACAGGAGCUGGGCCGCAGGUAGGUCCACGUAAGGUUUUUCCCUUUUUGUUUCUUUUUUUUAUUUCUGACAUUUGUUUUUGAUUUAGUAAAAAUACUAAAUCAAUUUAUUUGCCUCUGAUAAUUUUUGUAGGACUAGUUGGAUUAAUCCAAAGCCCCACACGAAGAAUCAGAGAUAUUGGACAUAUAUUAAAUAUAUAACUAAUAUAUAUCCAAUGCAAAUAUUUAUGCAUUAAUUCCAAAUGCCCAAAAUAAAUAAUUAUGAGCUCCUAAAAAUAUUGGUUUGAUUUUUAUCUCUGCCCAAUAUUUUCAUAGAGCAACAUGAACAUUUUCUUGGACCUUUUUGGAGCAAUUUUUAUCUGGGUCAUUUCCAGAAAUGAUUCUGAGGGUUUCACAAAUCCCCAUUUCAAAUUCAAAUGAAACUUAAACAUGAUGCACACAUGACUAGCUAGUCUAGGUCAUGCCAGAACUAGGGAUGUGACAACUCGCCCCCACUUGAAAGAAUCUCGUCCCGAGAUUCAGGGGUCGACAGAAAGAAUGCGGGGUACUCCAGUCGAAGACGAUCUUCUCGCUCCCAAGUAGCUUCUCUCUCAGAAUGAUGAGACCAGAGAACCUUGAGAAACUUGAUGUUAUGACGUCGAGUGACAAGCUCUGCUUGAUCAAGAAUGCGAACUGGAUACUCUCGAUAUGUGAGGUUAUCUUGGAGAUCAAGCGUUUCGUGGUCCACUCCGCGGAUAGGAUCCGAGAAGCAAUGCCUGAGUUGGGAGACGUGAAAGACAUCAUGAACUCGAGAAAGAUGUGGAGGUAGUUCCAACUGGUAGGCAACCUCUCCUCGUUUAGCGAGAAUGCGAAAAGGACCAAUGUAACGAGGAGCCAACUUGCCCUUGAUACCGAAACGAUGGGUACCCUUCAAAGGAGUAACCCGAAGGUAAGCUUUGUCGCCAAUUUCAUAAGUCAUAUCCUUAUGAUGAUGAUCAUACUGGCUCUUUUGACGAGACUGGGCUGUUUUCAAGUUCUCACGAAUGAUGUGAACUUGCUCUUUUGCCUCUUGGAUCAUGUCCGGUCCAAAGAAUUGUCUUUCACCAGUUUCUGACCAGUUCAAAGGUGUUCGACAUCUUCGUCCAUAGAGAAUCUCAAAAGGAGCUUUCUUGAGACUGGAUUGAUAGCUAUUGCUAUAAGCAAACUCAGCAAAAGGAAGACAUUUCUCCCAAUCCAUACCGAAUGAGAUAACGCAAGCUCUAAGCAUGUCUUCGAGAAUUUGGUUGACCCUUUCCACCCGACCACUCGACUGAGGGUGGAAAGCGGUACUGAAGGAAAGAUGGGUUCCCAUGGCAGUUUGGAAACUCUCCCAGAAAUGAGAAGUGAAAAGACUGCCAUGGUCUGAAUUGAUCUCUAGUGGAACACCAUGAAGUGAUACUAUUCGAGAAAUAUGUAAGUCAGCGAGCUGGCUAGCGGUGAUAUUCUCUCGAACAGGUAGGAAGUGCGCCACUUUGGAGAGACGAUCAAUGACUACGAAGAUAGCAUUAUUCCCUCUCUUCGUCCUGGGAAAGCCGGUGAUGAAGUCCAUACCAACUUUAUCCCAUUUCCACUCAGGAAUGGCUAAAGGCUGAAGGGUGCCAGUAGGCCUUUGAUGCUCUGCCUUAACGUGACGACAAACGUCACAAUUAGCAACGAAGUUGGCGAUUUCUCUCUUCAUCCUAGUCCACCAGAACCUCUGGCGUAGGUCCUGAUACAUCUUAACGCUACCGGGAUGAAUCAUGAGAGGAGAUUCAUGAGCCUCCUUAAGGAUCAGUUGCCGAAGAUGUUGUUUCCUGGGAACCACCAAACGGUUCUCGAAGAAAACAACACCUCGAUCAUCAACAGAGAAACUACCAGCAGCUCCCUUCUUCACCUUAUCCUUGAUUCGAGAAAUACCUGUAUCAUACUGCUGGCUAGUUAUGAUCUGAUCCUCAAGAGUAGGUUUCGCCACCAAGGUAGAAAGGAAUCUGUGAGGAGCAAUGUGAAGAUUAAGCUUACAGAAUUCCUCAUGGAGAAGUGGUUGACCCUGCUGCAACAUGAGAUUGUUGCAAUAGGAUUUACGGCUUAGCACAUCAGCCAUGACAUUAGCUUUGCCUGGAGUGUAAGUAAUCCCUAAGUCAUAAUCUGAGAUCAACUCCAACCAACGUCUUUGCCUAAGGUUCAAAUCUGGUUGGGUGAAGAUAUACUUGAGACUCUGGUGAUCGGUGUAGAUCUCGCAACGUUUACCAAGGAGGUAAUGUCGCCAGGUCUUGAGUGCAUAGACUACGGCUGCAAGCUCUAGAUCAUGUGUAGGAUAAUUCUCCUCAUGUGGAUGCAACUGUCGAGAUGCAUAGGCAAUCACAUGACGAUCCUGCAUAAGAAUGCAACCUAGUCCCUGUUGCGAGGCAUCACAAUAGAUAACGAAGUACUUAGUGAAAUCCGGUGGCACAAGUAUGGGAGCAGAAGUCAUACGUCUUUUCAGUUCCUGAAAACUAUACUCACACUGUGGGGACCACUCAAACUUUUUAUCUUUCUUGAGAAGUUCCGUGAGAGGUUUGGCCAAUUUGGAGAAGUUUUCAACAAAGCGGCGACAAUAGCUGGCUAGACCAAGGAAACUCCUAACUUGUUUAACGGUUUCAGGUGGAGUCCAAUCGAGAACGGCCUUAACUCUCUCGGGAUUGACAGCAAUGCCCUUACCAGAGAUUACGUGGCCUAGGUAGGUCACUUCUGGCAACCAAAAUUCACACUUGGAGAACUUGGCAUAAAGGCGGUGCUCUCUGAGUUUUUCUAACACAAGUCUAAGAUGUUCGGCAUGCUCUUCCUCGUUCUUCGAGUAAAUAAGAAUGUCAUCUAGGUAAACCACGACGAACUUAUCUAAGUACUCCAUGAAGAUCGAGUUCAUCAAGCGGGAGAAAGUGGCUGGGGCGUUGGUUAGACCAAAGGACAUGACGGUGUACUCGUACUAGCCAUAACAGGUGACAAAGGCUGUCUUGGGGAUGUCCCCAUUUCUGAUCUUGAUUUGGUGGUAGCCUAACCUCAAAUCCAUCUUGGAGAAGACUGAGGAUCUAGCGAGCUGAUCAUACAGAUCGUUGAUCCUGGAAAGCGGAUAUUUGUUCUUUAUCGUGACCAAAUUAACGGGACAAUAAUCUACAACCAUCCGGUCCGUACCAUCCUUCUUCUUGACAAAGAGGAUAGGGCAAGCCCAAGGAGAAGAACUAGGACGGAUGAAACCCUUUUGCAAGGACUCAUCAAGUUGUUUCUUAAGCUCGGCUAGUUCUAAGGGUGCCAUCUUGUAAGGUCUCCUAGAGAUUGGAGCGGUUCCUGGGAUAAGAUCUAUGACGAACUCUACAUCCCUGUCAGGUGGAACACCUGGCAGUUCCUCUGGAAAGACAUCCGGAAAGUCACGGACUACCGGGAUAUCUUCAAGGUCUGGAAGAGGGCUGGCAUUAAGAGAAUAGAGCUGACGCCUGGCAACUCUAGUGGAGACAGUGACUAUCUUGCCAGAUGGAUGUGUAAGCUGAGCGUACCUUGUGUAACAAUCAAUCUUGGCAUAAUGAGCUUUCAUCCAGUCCAUACCAAAGAUGAUGUUAAUAUCUGUAGACUUGAGGGCUAUAAGUAAUGCAAGGAAAACAAGUCUGUCUACAAGGAUUUCGUUACCAUAGCUUACACUAGAAGUUUGCCAUUUGGAUCUAGGAGUUUGAAUGACUAGUGGAGUGGGCAUAUCACAAAAUGACAUGUUGUGCAAGUUAGCAUAGCUUUCAGAAAUGAAGGAAUGAGAUGCUCCAGUAUCGAAUAGAACCAAUGCUGGAUGACAAUUGACAAGGAGUGUACCAAGAACGACAUCCGGAUCGUCAUGAGCGUCUUUAGCUGAGACGUGAUGCACACGUCCACGUUUAGUGCAAGCUGGCUUGGCACUGAUCGUCUUGCUUGAUGGCUUGACAUAGCCAACAAACUUCUCAAACUGGGGUGGAGCAUAACUAGUCUGAGAGCAGCCACGUGCAUAGUGUCCUGGCUUCCCGCAUGUGAAGCAAGUCCCUGAAGUUGGACGUGGACCCGCACUGACAAAUGGUCUACCAGUAGGCCUGGGUGGAACAUACGACUGAGCUGGGUGAGGCACCACAUAGGAUGGCCUUGGUGUAUAUCUGGAAGGAAGAGCGGAGUUUGGAACCCAAAUCCGGCGCUUCUGCGAGCCCGAACCGGAAGAAGAUCCCAAUCCACGGGUGUGCUUAAGAGACUCCUUGUAAGUGAGCUGAGCUGUCUCUGCAUUAAUGGCCUUGUUCACAAGAGCUUGGAAUGUAUCACAAUGAUGUAGGUGGAGAUCAUGACACAACUUGGGGUUGAGACCCUUCCGGAACCUAACCUGCUUCUUGGCGUCCGUGGACACCUCUUCUAUGGCAUAGCGGGCAAGGUUCUCGAACUCUUUGCUGUAAGCAUCAACAGCCAUCUUACUCUGGGUGAAACUACAUAACUCUUCUCUCUUGCGAUCAAUGAGGGCCUGAGGUAUGUGAUGCUCGCGAAAAGCCUCAGUGAAAUCCCUCCAAGUAGGAAUCUGGCCAGCUGGAAGUAUAGCCUCAUAGUUCUGCCACCAAAAACUAGCAGGACCUUCCAGAUGGUAUGUGGCAUAAGUGACCUUGUCAUCUUCAGCUAUGUUCGCAGAAUGUAGCUUAUGAGUGAUGCUACGGAGCUAGUCAUCUGCAACGAGUGGCUCGAUGGAAUGAUGGAAGGUAGGUGGGUGCAAGCGAAUGAAGUCAUGAAUGGUUGCAGACCCUUUUAAAUGAUGUGCGGUGUUCUCUUCAAUACGCGCCAACAAGUGGUUAGACUCACACUUGUUCCUCUCCAUCUCUAACAUGAACUCUGUCAACGAAGGUUGAUCGGGAGGAUCCUCAUCCCUACCAUCUCCGUGGUUCUGGCUACGAGCAACAGAACUUCGCUUAACUAAUGACAUCCUGAGAAACGAAACCAAGGACAGAAUCAACAUCAACUAUAGGCUGUAGAAUGUAGGACAAGGAAAUUAGUAACUCUCGAACUCCUAGGGGAAUUUUGGCAGCAUAGCGGCAGUAAAAUGCUAGAAUGAGACAUCUUGCCAAAAUGGGGUAGUAACAACUCAACAUCACCAAUCAAGGUUCUGAGAUCAUACUAAACAGGCUACACCGGAGGUACUCAAAACUGGGAUAUGACUCUGACCAACCAAUCCUAUGGGACUACGGAGUAGUAACACGUGAUCCUGAUAGACGGAAGAGAAUCCUAGUUCCUUAACCCCGCAGGAAAGAUAGGAUGACUCAGAUCAGAAGGCAUAAGGUAUAAGGAGUAAAAAGAGCCCUACGUUGCAUCCCACAAUCAAUUCCCUUAAAUAACUAAAGAAUUUCUAGACUCAACUUUGACCAGUUUGGCUUGGUAAUCCUACAGGCAGUCAGGCUCUGAUACCAAAGCUGUCAGGACCCCGACUCAAUGCCACACCGAUCUAGCAUGUAACACCUCAUAUCACUUUGCGGCCUCACGCAUGGUAUUUCCACGGGUGACGCCUUACCAGGCCCGGGACCUUUUGCGCCUUUUGGCACACGUAUAUGAUAGUGUCGCUAGCAUCCAUAUGACAAGGAGCUCGGGCUGGCAUGGCUAGUCGUGAACCCAAAGUGGCGCUAACUUAUAGGUACAGGCAUACAUGACCCAUCAACGAACGUGUCAGUCAUUAGCGAGUGAAUCCGGGCUGUAGCAGCUAGGCUAGCAGGACCCCGGAGAAUCUGGGCUGUAGCAGGCUAAUAGGACUCCAGUAGACACCGCAUGACAUUUCCCUGAAGGGACAGACACAGGAACAAAGAAGCACACAUGCCGACCAGCCUAAGUGUUCCGGAGCAGUAGCAAGCUACCAGGGCUCAGUGAAGCACUAGGAGACAUUUCCCGGUAAGAGAGGCUACUAAGGAUAAACAACUAGAUAGUCAGAUCCCACACAUAGCAAUACACAUUACACGUACGCAUAACAUGCAAGUAUGUGCUGUACAACAUGGCAUCACAGCAUAACUCAACAACUCAUAUAGAUAAGGCUCAAAGAUCCAUCAUAGAAUUUAUUACAAGCAAGGGUCACAUGACCCAACAUUCAGAGCAAACAAGCAACAAGCGCAAGCAUUACAUGUCUGAGUACAGACAUCUAAAUUUGAAAAAGGCUGAUGAGCCUGACAAUCUACAACAUCCUAUCAAGAUCGUAGCUGAGGUACAAGCUACUUGUCGAAGUCCAAGAGAACACUAGUAAGACUGAAGUCCCCGCUGCAAAAACAUAAAUAAAGCAACAUGAGUACAAAGGUACUCAGCAAGACUUACAUCAGAUCCUAUCAUACAUGCAUUUGUAUCAAAAAGGUAAUGUGGGGUUUAGUUACAGCAAGCCAGCUUUGACUCAGUGGCUAUCCUGUUCUAUGACUACGAGAACUUCUUUGAGGUGAUAUGGCGCACACGAGUCCACUAAUCACCACACAAUACACUAUUAUGGAUUCAUUCCCAUCUCCCUACGAGAAGGCCAUCCAUAGCACUCACACUUGUCUUGAGCAUUUUAGAGUAUCCACUUCAAGUUGUCUAUGUACCAUGUAAGCAUCCAAGAAGUCCAUAACUGCGGACCCGACUAUUUGAAUAGAUCAUGUUAACCUUGCAGGUGUGUACUUCUUCACACAUGCUCUCGCCACUUACCGCCAUGUACACGUCAUGUAUCUCGGCAACCUUCAAGCGGAAGCCUGGCGAGGGUGUCGGCCACAACCUGACUAACCACACAACACUCUAGUCCAGGUUUAUCGCCUAUUCGGGUUCCAUCCGCAAGGAGAUCCGGCCGGUGUGUCGCUCACGGCCCCAAACGAUGUGAGCAGGGUUCCCAAGCCCACCAUCCGGGUGCUACUUGAUACACCGUGCCACCUGUGCCUAGUCUGUCCCAAGCCCACCCUACCGGGUGCCACUUGGUAGAAAAAUAGCACUACCAACAAACACCAGAAACUAGUUGUGACUUCUGGACAGAGAUCAAGUCGGUUAAUAAGUCGAGAGAGUCAAUUAAGGAUCCCAAUGUGUGGUAGUAUCGAGUCAUUGGACAACAUAGAUAGAACUCAGUGCUUAAGGACGGUUCCAGUGAGACAACCCACCAUGUACUCCUACAUGGCCUCUCACCGCUACCUUUAUUAAAUCGUGUUCACACACUUCACUCUCAGCAUCAGAACAUAUCGUAACACUCUAAUUCAUUUCCAAUGAAUCAGACCUGACACGACUCUAAGCAAUAGCAGGCAUGGCAUGGUAGGAACACAGCAUGGCUCAAUCAACUCCUACACAUGCUAGUGGAUUUCAACUAUUUACUGUGGCAAUGACAGGUCAUGCAUAAGAAUGGGUUCAACUGCCGCAGCCCAAAGUAGCAGAUGAAUCGUUUUUAUCCUAAUGUAAUAACUGAGAGCAGGAGCGAGAGAGUAGGAUUGUAUUGGAAUGAACAAGGGGGUUUGCUUGCCUGGUAGAUCAACAAGGGGGCACUGCUCCUUAGACAGGUACUCUAGAACGGUCUCCGGAGCAGGACCUAUCGAGAAGGAACGGUGUCGACAAUCAAAACACAACCAUAUGCAACAACAUGAUGUAUGAACAUGGCAUGCAAAUGUGAUGUUGUUUGAGCUAAUGCAGCUAACAUUCUAUUUGGAUGAAGUCCAUUUGAAUCAAGGAUUCAAAUGCAAUUCCAAGUAAGCUCUUUAUAAAUGCCAUUUUAGUGUUUCACUUAUACAAUAGGUAUAAUUUGAUUUUUCAUGCAUGAAACUAGUACAUAUGGAAAGAUUGCAUUUUUCUGAUAAUUUUUCAUAUAUAAAUUAUUUCAAUCUGAGCUACGGUUGAAUUUCUAUGAUUUUUUGAAGUUUAUAAUAUUUUUUGGAAUUUCCUGGAUUAUAUUAAAUCCAAAAAAUGAUUAACUGCAUCAUCCUAGCGUCAUGCUGACCUCAGCAGGUCAACGGACCCGGUCCAGGUCAAACCUGACCAGUGGGGCCCACUGGUCAGUGACUCACUAGGCAAACCCGGUCAAAUCCAGCGCUGACUGGGUUUGACCGGUGGUGGGGCCCACUGUCAGUGGCAGUGAGGUGGCUAAUUAGGUGGGGUUAGUCCUAAUGACGCGCCACAUCAGCACCCGCUGGAGCACGGUCGGCGACGACCAUAUCACGCGGCGGAGGCUCACCGGAGUGGCUCGGGACGGUGCUACAGAGGGUAGUUUGCGACAGGGUUUGGCUCUACGGGGAGGUGGAGGAGUGGCGCAUCCACUGGUGGCAGCGACUGGAGCUGGGGUGGCCUGUAGUGGCGGCGGCGACGAGUUGGGCGGCGGCCGGAGUUCGGCCAGGUGCGCGCAGGGUGCUGUGGGGCACGCAGGAGCUGUGGGCGGCGGCGUUGGUCUUCUGGGAGGUUGCUGAGUGCGAUGACGUGCGCGGGUAUGAGCUGUGGUGGCCCUGGCCACGACGGAGACAUGGCCGGCGGCGUUGCGCUUGCGGGUUCGACGGCUGGUAGGGCUACGGCACGAAAUCGGGCGCGGGGAAGGAGGGGAAACAGAGGAGACCUCACAUAGGUCUCGACGGCAUCGACGGCGAGCUCGGGGAAGGCUGGAGAUGAGCGGGGCGGCGAGGCGGAUCUCCGGCGUCGGGAGGUUGAAGACGAGCUUGGUGAGGCCGUUCGGGGGCUUCUAGUGCCGCGUGGCUCGGCGGAGAGGGCUAGAGCGACGAGGCGGAUAUUCUGGGCGCAGCGGCAGGGCGAGGGGUGGCCGGUGGCCGCGGUGGUGCUCGUCGGCGGCGGCGGGCGCGUUUGGACGCGAGAGAGAAAGCGAGGGAGAGGAGAGGAGAGGACCGGGGGAGAGUGAGAGGGGUACGGGGUGGUGCUUGGCGUCGCGCAGGGCAUCCACAGCAACGAGAGGGAGGACAUGCAGGCAGGGAGGGAGGAGGUGGCGCGGCGCGGCAGUGCGCGCACGUUGGGCACGCGCCCGUCCUCCUGGCAGGAGGAAGACGACAAGGGAGGAGGCGGGCUGGGCCAGCUGCUCGACUGCGCAGUGCUGGGCUAGCACAGGAGCUGGGCCGCAGGUAGGUCCACGUAAGGUUUUCCCCUUUUUGUUUCUUUUUUUAUUUCUGACAUUUGUUUCUGAUUUAGUAAAAAUACUAAAUCAAUUUAUUUGCCUUUGAUAAUUUUUGUAGGGACUAGUUGGAUUAAUCCAAAGCCCCACACCAAGAAUCAGAGAUAUUGGACAUAUAUUAAAUAUAUAACUAAUAUAUAUCCAAUGCAAAUAUUUAUGCAUUAAUUCAAAAUGCCCAAAAUUAGAGCUCAUAAAAAUAUUGGUUUGAUUUUUAUCUCUGCCCAAUAUUUUCAGAGAGCAACAUGAACAUUUUCUUGGACCUUUUUGGAGCAAUUUUUAUCUGGGUCAUUUUCAGAAAUGAUUAUGAGGGUUUCACAAAUCCCCAUUUCAAAUUGAAGUGAAACUUAAACAUGAUGCACACAUGACUAGCUAGUCUAGGUCAUACCAGAACUAGGGAUGUGACAAUAGUUGAGGUAAUAAAUCAUUCCAGGGGCAAAGAAGAGAUUUGCACUUAGCUCCAAAGUAAACCAGCAGCCAAGUGUUUGUGGUGUGCAGUGGGGACACAAGCUAGGUAACUCAGUAACUAGUUUGUCUAAUGAAGAUCAUACACUAAGGUGACUACGAUCACAAGAAAUCAGCUUAAGAGGAGGUGUUUAGUGGGUGGUUGCUGUAGAAAGUGCCAUAAUGGCCAGAAAUGGGAAUUUAGAUGAUGCACUCACAUAGUUGCAUCAAUGAAGCUGAAAUUGUUUAUGGCCCAAUGAUUUGAGAAUAUUAAGAUGACCAAGGAGUUUCAUGCCAUUUAGAUGAACCAAAAUAGCACUUGCUUCAAAAAGAUUUAUUCUGACCAGAAACUUGGAAAAAUUCCACAGGGAAAAUGGUCAAAGGGAUUGAGCCACAACUUGGUGGAGGGAGGUUAUAUGGAUACUAGAAGGUCUAGAAAAAUUUACAGCCAUAAUGGAUGAAGAUAAAAUAUACUUGCUUCACAAACUAAAAUUUUGACCAUAAACUAAGAAUUGAAGCUGUGCUCACAUGGAGGCAUGAUAUGAGCUCAAAUUUGGUGGAGGGCUAUGAUACGAUGAUAUGAAGGAUCAUGCAAAAUGGCAAAUCAUUUGGAUAUGCCUAGAUUGUACCUCCUUCACAAAGUUUCUUUCUAGAUAGAAACUUUGGAAAAUCAUAAUUAAAUAAUUACUAGGCAAAUGAGGUUGCAGUUUGGCAUGUGGCAAUGAUAUGGACAUGAAAAGAUGUCCAAGGUGUUUGAGGUCAAUUGGGCAAAGGAAAAUGGCACUUGCUUCACAAUGUGCCAUUUAGGGCAGAAUAGUAAAUGAAUUAUUGGAGGAUUAUUUUUGAACAUGGCAAUGAAACGUUUUGCCAUAUUUGAUCAAGAUAUGUGUCACAUCCCUAGUUCUGGUAUGCUCAAGGAUAGCUAGUCAUGUGUGCAUCAUGUUUAAAUUCCAUUUAAAUUUGAAAUGAGGAUUUGUGAAACCCUCAGAAUCAUUUCUGGAAAUGACCCAAAUAAAAAUUGCUCUAAAAGGGUCCAAGAAAAUGCUCAUGUUGCUCUCUGAAUAUAUUGGACAGAGAUAAAAAUCAAACCAAUAUUUUUAGGAGCCCAUAAGUAUUUAUUUUUGGGCAUUUGGGCGAGCUCCGGCGCCCCCGCGGCUUCCCGUCUGCUCCUCUGGAUGCGGGAGAGCACGGGCUAUGCCCUGGUGCUCUCACACGCUGCCCCCAUGGCCCCAACGCGGACGCCGCCGCGUCCUGUGGUCACCGCCGAUGACGUUGCUGGCCGGACGGGUGGGCCCUGUCGGCCAGGUGAUUAGCUUAGUGCUAAUCACCACCUAUCUAACCCCUGACACUCACCAGUGGGCCCCGUGCCCCCUAAUCCUUUUAAUUAAGCAAAUAACCCCCUAUUUAACCACGUGUCACUGACGUGUGGACCCCACACGUCAGGUUUGACUUGGAGCGACCCGUUGACCUGCUGACGUCACUAGACAUCAUGCUGACGCAAUUAAUCCUUUUUUGGUUUAAAUUUAAAUCAGGAAAUUCCAGAAAAUUAGCAAAACUUCAAAAAAUCAUAGAAAUUCAACCGUAACUCAGACUGAAAUAAUUUAUAUAUGAUAAUUUAUCAGAAAAAUGCAAUCUAUCCAUCUGUACUAGUUUCAUGCAUGACAAAACAACUUAUACCUACUGUAUAAGUGAAACACUAAAGUGGCAUUUAUUAAAGACUUAAUUUAGAGUUGCAUUUGAACCCUUGGUUCAAAUGGAUCUCUUCCAAAUAGAAUGCUAGAUGCAUUAGCACAAACAACAUCACAUCUACAUGCCAUGAUCAUGCAUCAUAUUGUUGCAUAUGUUGUGUAUUGAUUGUCGACACCGUUCCUUCUCGAUAGGUCCUGCUCCGGAGACCGUUCCAGAGUACCUGUCUAAGGAGCAGUGCCCCCUCUGUUGAUCUACCAGGCAAGCAAACCCCCUUGUUCAUUCCGAUACAAUCCUACUCUCUCGCUCCUGCUCUCAGUUAUUGCAUUAGGACAACAACGAUUCAUCUGCUACUUUGUGCUGCGGUAGUUGAACCCAUUCCUCUGCAUGACCUGUCAUUGCCACAGUAAAUAGUUGAAACCCACUAGCAUGUGUAGGAGUUGAUUCAGCCAUGUUGUGUUCCUACCAUGCCAUGCCUGCUAUUGCUUAGAGUGUGUCAGGUCUGAUUCAUUGGGAAUGAAUUGGAGUGCAGUGCUCUAUGUUCUAAUGCAGAGAGUGAAGUGUGUGAACACGAUUUGGUAAAGGUAGCGGUGAGAGGCCAUGUAGGAGUACAUGGUGGGUUGUCUCACUAGAACCGUCCUUAAGCACUGAGUUCUAUGUAUGGUGUCCAAUGACUAGCUACUACCACGCAUUGGAAUGCUUAAGUGCCCCUCUCAACUUAUUAACCAACUUGAUCUCUGUCCAGGAGUCGCAACUACUCUCUGGUGUUUGUAGGUAGUGCUAUUUUUCUACCAAGUGGCACCCGGCAGGGUGGGCUUGGGAUAGACUAGGCACACGUGGCCUGGUGUACAGAGUAUCACCCGGAUGGUGGGCUCGGGAACCCUGCACACAUCGUUUGGGGCUGUGAGCGACACCCCAGCCGGAUCUCCUUGCGGAUGGAACCCGAACAGGCGAUAAACCUGGGCUAGAGUCUUGUCUGGUUAGUUAGGUCGUGGACGACACCCUCACCAGGCUUCCGCUUGAAGGUUGCCGAGAUACAUGACGUGUACAUGGCGGUAAGUGGCGAGAGCGUGUGUGAAGGAGUACACCCCUACAGGGUUAACAUGAUCUAUUCGAAUAGCCGGGUCCACGGUUAUGGACUUCUUGGAUGCUUACGUGGUACAUAGACAGCUUGAAGUGGAUACUCUAAAUGCUCAAGACAAGCAUGAGUGCUAUGGAUGGCCUUCUCGUAGGGAGACGGGGAUGAAUCCAUGGUGGUGUAUUGUGUGGUGAUUAGUGGACUCGUGUACACCAUCUCACCUCAAAGAAGUUCUCGUAGUCGUAGAACAGGAUAGCCACAGAGUCAAAGCUAGCUUGCUGCAACUAAACCCCACAUUACCCUCUUGAUACAAAUGCAUGUACGAUAGGAUCUAAUGUAAGUCUUGCUGAGUACCUUUGUACUCAUGUUGCUUUAUUUAUGUUUUGCAGCGGAGACUUCGGUCUUACUAGUGUUCUCGUGGACUUCGACGAGUAGCUUGUACCUCAGCUACGAUCUUGAUAGGAUGUUGUAGAUAGUAAGGCUCUUCAGCCUUUUUCAUUUGUAGAUGUCUGUACCCAGACAUGUGAUGCUUCCGCUUGUUGCUUGUUUGCUCUGAAUGUUGGGUCAUGUGACCCCUGCUUGUAAUAAAUGCUACGAUGGCUCUUUUGAGCCUUUAUCUAUAUGAGUUGUUGAGUUAUGUUGUGAUGCCAUGUUGUACAACACAUACUUGCAUGUUAUGCAUACGUGUAACAUGUAUUGCUAUGUGUGGGAUCUGACUAACUAGUUGUUUAUCCUUAGUAGCUUCUCUUACCGGGAAAUGUCUCCUAGUGCUUCCACUAAGCCCUGAUAGCUUGCUACUGCCCCGGGACACUUAGGUUGGCUGGCAUGUGUCCUUCUUCAUUCCUGUGUCUGUCCCUUCGGGGAAAUGUCACGCGGUGUCCACCGGAGUCCUGUUAGCCUGCUACAGCCCGAUUUACCGGAGUCCUGCUAGCCCAGUUGCUACAGCCCAGAUUCACUCGCUGAUGACCAACACAUUUGAUGCUGGGUCAUGUAUGCCUGUCCCUGUAAGUUAGUGCCACUUCGGGUUCACCACUAGCCAUGUUAGCCCGGGUUCUUUGUCAUAUGGAUGCUAGCGACACUAUCAUAUACGUGUGCCAAAAGGCGCAAACGGUCCCGGGCAUGGUAAGGCGACACCCGUGGGAAUACCAUGCGUGAGGCCGCAAAAUGAUAUGAGGUGUUACAUGCUAGAUCGGUGUGGCAUAGAAUCAGGGUCCUGGCAGUUUUGCUCUAAUACCAAAGCUGUCAGGAUCAACAUUCCUAGUGCUGGUAUGCUCAAGGCUAGCUAGUCAAGUGUGCGUCAUGUUUAAAUUCCAUUUAAAUUUGAAAUGAGGAUUUGUGAAACCCUGAGAAUCAUUUCUGGAAAUGACCCAAAUAAAAGAUGCUCAAAAAGGGUCCAAGAAAAUGCUCAUGUUGCUCUCUGAAAAUAUUGGACAGAGAUAAAAAUCAAACCAAUAUUUUUAGGAGCCCAUAAGUAUUUAUUUUGGGAUUUGGAAUUAAUGUAUAAUUAUUCGCAUUGGAUAUAUAUAUAUAUAUAUGUUAUAUAUAUAAUAUAUGUCCAAAAAUUGUGCCAGUUGUUGAGGAGCUAUGGACUAAUACCACUAGCCCUACAAAAAUUGGCAUAAGAAAAAUAAAUGGUUUAGUAUUUUAUUAAAUCAAACAAAUGUCAGAAAAUAAGAAAAGAAAACAAAAAUGGAAAAAACCUACCUGGCACUUAUCUGCAGCCAUCUGGCCCAGCACUGUGCGGCCUGGCCGGCCUAGUUGGCCAGCCUAGCCCACCUGGCCCCCCUACUCUGUCGUCUUCCUCCUCGAUAGGAAAACAGGCGCGUGCCCGACGCGUGCGCACCGCCGCGCCGCGCCACCUCCUCCCUCCCUUCCUGCCUGUCCUCCCUCUCGUCGCUCUGGAUGCCCCGCACGACGCCACAUGCCGCCCCGCACCCCUCUCACUCUCCCCCGGUCCUCUCCUCCCCUCUCCCUUGCUUUCUCUCUCGCGUCCGAACGCGCCCGCCGCCGCUGACGAGCACCACCGCGGCCAUCGACCACCCCUCGCCCUGCCGUUGCGCCCAGAAGAUCCGCCUCGUCGCCCUAGCCCUCUCCGCCGAGCCACGCGGCACCGGAAGCCCGGAACAACCUCACCGAGCUCGUCUUCAACCUCCCGAUGCUGGAGAUCCGCCUCGCCGCCUCGCUCAGCUCCGACCUCCCCCGAGCAUGCUGACACCUCCGCCGAAUCCGCUGUGAGCUCUGCCGCACUCUCCCCCUAACCCUGCCGUCUUUUGCGCCCUCUAGCCCCUCUGCCGCUCGAGCCCAAGCUCUGUCCGCCGCCGUGAGCUCCGCUCCGGCGAGCUCCUGCGCCCCCGCGACUUCCCGUCUACUCCUCUGGAUGCGGGAGUGCACGGGCUACGCCCCGGUGCUCUCAGACGCCGCCCCCGUGGCCCCAACACGGACGUCGCCGCGUCCUGUGGUCGCCGCCGCCGACCUCACCGGCCUGACGGGUGGGCCCCAUCGGCCAGGUGAUUAGCUUAGUGCUAAUCACUGCCUAUCUAACCCCUGACACUGACCAGUGGGCCCUGUGCCCCCUAAUCCUUUUAAUUAAGCAAAUAACCCCCUGUUUAACCCCGUGUCACUGACGUGUGGACCCCACGCGUCAGGUUUGACCUAGAGCGACCCGUUGACCUGCUGACAUCACUCAGACGUCAUGCUGACGCAAUUAAUCCUUUUCUGGUUUAAAUUUAAAUAAGGAAAUUCCAGAAAAUUAGCAAAACUUCGAAAAAAUCAUAGAAAUUCAACCGUAACUCAGAUUGAAAUAAUUUAUAUAUGAAAAUUUAUCAGAAAAAUGAAAUCUAUCCAUCUGUACUAGUUUCAUGCAUGACAAAACAACUUAUACCUACUGUAUAAGUGAAACAGUAAAGUGGCAUUUAUUAAAGACUUAAUUUAUAGUUGCAUUUGAACCGUUGGUUCAAAUGGAUCUCUUCCAAAUAGAAUGCUAGAUGCAUUAGCACAAACAACAUCACAUCUACAUGCCAUGAUCAUGCAUCAUAUUGUUGCAUAUGUUUUGUAUUGAUUGUCGACACCGUUCCUUCUCGAUAGGUCCUGCUCCAGAGACCGCUCCAGAGUACCUAUCUAAGGAGUAGUGCUGCCUCUGUUGAUCUACCAGGCAAUCAAACCCCCUUGUUCAUUCCGAUACAAUCCUACUCUCUCACUCCUGCUCUCAAUUAUUGCAUUAGGACAACAACGAUUCAUCUGCUACUUUGUGCUGCGGUAGUUGAACCCAUUCCUCUGCAUGACCUGUCAUUGCCACAGUAAAUAGUUGAAACCCACUAGCAUGUGUAGGAGUUGAUUCAGCCAUGUUUUGUUCCUACCAUGCCAUGCCUGCUAUUGCUUAGAGUGUGUCAGGCCUGAUUCAUUGGUAAUGAAUUGGAGUGCAGUGCUCUAUGUUCUGAUGCUGAGAGUGAAGUGUGUGAACACGAUUUGGUAAAGGUAGCGGUGAGAGGCCAUGUAGGAGUACAUGGUGGUUUGUCUCACUGGAACCGUCCUUAAGCACUGAGUUUUAUGUAUGUUGUCCAAUGACUAGCUACUACCACACAUUGGAAUGCUUAAGUGCCCCUCUGGACUUAUUAACCAACUUGAUCUCUGUCCAGGAGUCGCAACUAGUCUUUGGUGUUUGUAGGUAGUGCUAUUUUUCUACCAAAUGGCACCCGACAGGGUGGGCUUGGGGCAGACUAGGCACACGUGGCCUGGUGUACCAAGUGGCACCCGGAUGGUGGGCUCGGGAACCCUGCACACAUCGUUUGGGGCUGUGAGCGACACCCCAGCCGGAUCUCCUUGCGGAUGGAACCCGAACAGGCGAUAAACCUGGGCUAGAGUCUUGUCUGGUUAGUUAGGUCGUGGACGACACCCUCACCAGGCUUCCGCUUGAAGGUUGCCGAGAUACAUGACGUGUACAUGGCGGUAAGUGGCGAGAGCGUGUGUGAAGGAGUACACCCCUACAGGGUUAACAUGAUCUAUUCGAAUAGCCGGGUCCACGGUUAUGGACUUCUUGGAUGCUUACGUGGUACAUAGACAGCUUGAAGUGGAUACUCUAAAUGCUCAAGACAAGCAUGAGUGCUAUGGAUGGCCUUCUCGUAGGGAGACGGGGAUGAAUCCAUGGUGGUGUAUUGUGUGGUGAUUAGUGGACUCGUGUACACCAUCUCACCUCAAAGAAGUUCUCGUAGUCGUAGAACAGGAUAGCCACAGAGUCAAAGCUAGCUUGCUGCAACUAAACCCCACAUUACCCUCUUGAUACAAAUGCAUGUACGAUAGGAUCUAAUGUAAGUCUUGCUGAGUACCUUUGUACUCAUGUUGCUUUAUUUAUGUUUUGCAGCGGAGACUUCGGUCUUACUAGUGUUCUCGUGGACUUCGACGAGUAGCUUGUACCUCAGCUACGAUCUUGAUAGGAUGUUGUAGAUAGUAAGGCUCUUCAGCCUUUUUCAUUUGUAGAUGUCUGUACCCAGACAUGUGAUGCUUCCGCUUGUUGCUUGUUUGCUCUGAAUGUUGGGUCAUGUGACCCCUGCUUGUAAUAAAUGCUACGAUGGCUCUUUUGAGCCUUUAUCUAUAUGAGUUGUUGAGUUAUGUUGUGAUGCCAUGUUGUACAACACAUACUUGCAUGUUAUGCGUACGUGUAAUGUGUAUUGCUAUGUGUGGGAUCUGACUAACUAGUUGUUUAUCCUUAGUAGCCUCUCUUACCGGGAAAUGUCUCCUAGUGCUUCCGCUGAGCCCUGGUAGCUUGCUACUACUCCGGGACACUUAGGCUGGCCGACAUGUGUCCUUCUUCGUUCCUGUGUCUAUCCCUUCGAGGAAAUGUCACGCGGUGUCCACCGAGUCCUGUUAGCCUACUACAGCCCAGUUUACCGGAGUCCUGCUAGCCCAGUUGCUACAGCCCAGAUUCACUCGCUGAUGACCGACACGUUCGAUGUUGGGUCAUGUAUGCCUGUCCCUGUAAGUUACUGCCACUUCGGCUUCAUGGCUAGCCAUGUCAGCCCGGGUUCUUUGUCAUAUCGAUGCUAGCGACACUAUCAUAUACGUGUGCCAAAAGGCGCAAAUGGUCCCGGGCAUGGUAAGGCGACACCCGUGGGAAUACCAUGCGUGAGGCCGCAAAGUGAUAUGAGGUGUUACAUGCUAGAUUGGUGUGACUUAGGAUCGGGGUUCUGACAAUAUGACCCAAACAAUUUAUGAGAAUUAUUUGGGAAUUUUAGGAGUGAUGAAAAUAUAGGUUGCUUCACAUCCUAGGGCAAUUUGAGUUAUUCCUGUAAUAGAAAAGGAAUAUUCCCAGUAAAAAGAAAUUGGGAUUUGGGCUAGGAUGAAAAUUACAGGGUCUAGGGAAGGAUUUGGGAAUGGCAAGCCACUCUGGAAGCAAAGAGGAGGGCAUCUUCUUCAGUUUCCAGACCACAAAGCCACGGAAAAAGAAAACUCAGGCAAAAACCUCAGAAAAACAAAAGAAAAUGAAUGGGCCAACAAUCAAGUUGUCACAAACCUUACCCCCUUAAAGAAAUCUCGUCCUCGAGAUUUGGUUGCUCAGGGAACGAGUAUGAAUAUUCUGACUUAAGAAAACCGUUUCCAACUCGGGUAUCCUUUUUUCUUUAUUGUUGUUCCCACUUAAUUUUUAUGUGACUGGCCCUGGGUGGUUUCUUUACUGUAUCCACAUUCUGACAGAUCUUACCUGGCUUGCUCAUGCUUAUAUAGGCUUCAAUUUCUUUUUAGAUCUGCUGACUAGCUGAGUGUGAUUUGAUUAUCACGACUGAAAUAUAUGUCCGUCUCACAAAUCCAAAAGUGAUUUCCGCUGGGUGUGCCACCCGACACGACAACCUUUCAGGUAAUGAUGAUCAGAUUUUUUUGAUGAAAACUCAAGCUCUGACUCAUUGCGUUGGGUUUCUCCACUAAAUGCAGGUCCUUUGGGUUCCAAGCAGUGAGGCAAAAACAUAACCGUUUCCUGACAGAUUCUGACUCAUCGCAGAAGUUUCUGAAUCAUCUUAACUGGUUCCACUGUCAUGAGUAUCGGAUCUGCACCAAAUAUUUGAUUAUCUCCUGUCAUGGCCAGCAUAAAGAAUAUGACCUUACAUGCUAAUAUCUGCAGACUCGACUGAUGGUGGUUCUGACGGAAAUUUUUUGUUCACGACAUGCUAUCCAUGAUGAUUCAUAUAAGUGAGGACUCAGGCUUCCAGACUAUUAUUCCUCAUGCCGAUUACUCAUGUUGUAGGCAUAUCCAUGUGGAUCAAUACUGACUUAGACUGUCCGGGGGAUCUGCACCAUGGGGGUUGUGUACAAUUUUCAUACCUGCAUCAUUGGUCUUGCUCCUUCAUUAUUGUUUUCUUGGUCUGGAUCUUUGGCUAAAAGAGCUGGGCCAUAUUGCUUCUUCGUAUGACCAUAGGUAUUGUCGGUGCAAUUUUUCGGCAAACAUAGCUUAUCCUCAUUUUUCUGACAGGGUAACCCAUUAAAUGGCAGGUUCAACACCUCUUAAUUUUGGAUCAUUGGGAAAUGAUCAUCCGAAACCCUUGCAAGAAAUCGGCAAAUAAAUCAGUAGCCACCAGAACGGUCUUUACAACUCAGAUCUGGGACAUUACUGAAAUAACUCAACCACGCUCAGGACGUUCGAAAAGUAGCUCAGAGCAUGAGACCGGGUCGAUAAGAAGAAGGUGCCAGCUCCCUAAAAUAGCCAAAAAGCAGCUAUAGGGAUACUGUCACAAAAAGAAACUCAAUAGCUGUACAAGACGGCCGAAAAGCAGCUCAGACUCGUGACAGUCGUUGAAGAGAGAAACAAAAAUCGACAUCCACACCGGAUAGCUAGGAACAACUCAGAGCACAGGCGUGGUGCCGUCAUUGGAGAAAAGGGGACAAGGGCUCAUCAGGAUCAUUUUCCAGUUCACAAGUACUUGUAUGGAGCUCAUUGAUGUCUUCAAUCCUCAUAAUCCUUUGUCGCACUGCGGUGUAUACUAGCUUUCUUCUAUUAACCAUCCUCACGUGGUUGUCAGAUCCUCAUCCGAGUGACUUGUAAGAUCUUUAUGGUAUGCUCAUUGCAUAUAUAUGAGGACCUGAUUCCGAGACAGACAUGUAUUCUGACUGAUUCUUGGUUCUGACCAAAAUAUUGUGGAUCUGAUUCUUGGGAUUCACUGCCAUAUGCUGUCAAUUCACAGCGUACUACCUUGUACCAAUGUCUACUGAGGAAGAUUGGUUGGCUUGUGCUCGAAACUUUCAUCGACAGCUUGCUGAAGAAGUCUGGGUAUCGUGCUUCAGAAGCUUACCCCCUUAAAGACUUUGCUGGGGAAAGACUCAGUACCUUAUCUCAGAAGCUUUUGCGAUUGCUUACUGAACAAGGCAGAGUACCUUGUACAGAAAAUCAUCCAUGUAUCAUACUGAGGAAGAUAGAUGAAUCUUGCCUUGGAAGCUUCUCGGGUAUCUUGUGAGGGAAGAUUGGGUUGCUUACACCAGAAGCUUCUUAUUGUGAUAUGCGAACCAAUUUCCACAUAUAUAACCAUCUGAAUAUUUUCGCUAUUGAUUUCUUGCAUGAAACGGGGUUUUGCAGGACUAUCCUCCUUUCUGAGUACAUGCCAUAUUUUUUCUCGCUUCUGGGCAUAUAAUGUUUAAAAUCAUUCUUAACAACGAAUCAAACUUGUAUCUAAGCCAAACCUUUGACUGAUAAUAUUCUAUCAACCUUGCACACAAUUUAUCUUCUUGCUGAUUUGAUCAUUUCUACUAUGAGGAGUACAUGCUGAGGGAGACUUGACAAUCAGUAACAUGAUCAGAUAUUCCCCAAUCUGAAUGCAGUCGGCUGAGAAUUCCAUACCGUUGUGAGGAGUGCACGUUAAUGCAAACUUUAUACUAACAUUCCAUCCAGGAUUUCUUUUGUAUUUAGACGAGCUAUUUCCAAUUUCACUGUAGUCUGCUGACAAUUCCAUUCUGUUUAGUCGAGUUUCCAAAUAUAUGCAUUUCUUGCUGACUCUUCGGGUCCGGUGUCGGUUGACGAGCAACUUUAAUAGGGGGAAAAUUUGUAACACCGAAGGCCCAAAGAAAGGAACAAAAGAAAUGACUAAAACGAAAGCACACAAGCAUACUACUAAUAUAAUUAAUCAAGCAAUCAUCACAUAUUACUGCUACUCACACAAUAAUAUGCAUGCACACCUAAGCACACAAAUCUCGCGGAAACUCUGGUAUUGUGGUCUAAUAUGCUGUGGCGAUGUGCACGAAAAUUAUAUCCAUGUGUGGAAAGGAGUUGGCGUAAUCGAAGCUACACCAAGCACUGGCUGGAUCUGGAUGGAUACACAGGUGAGGACGGGCUUAAUGAUCAAGUAGCGAGGCACAAAAGUCACGACUACCCCAUCAUCAAGCGUACGAAGGGAAUCUUACCCGUCCAAAGAAUGAAAUGACAAGGCAAGAUAACAGUGGAAGACUGGGUCUAAUGGCAUUGCCCUUUGCUGAUAACAAAGGUCAGCAAGGGUUGACAAAAGAACGAGAUGGAGGGCAUGGAUGAUGAUGUGGUCGCAUCACACCGAAGAAGGAGGGCGUAGGUAGUGGAUCGAAACCGAUACCACCUACACUCACAAGAUUAACCGUUAGCGACUAAAUAAUAAUCUAUAUGCAUGCUAUGCGACAAACAAAUGCAGUAAUCAAGUGCAACAAAUCAACUGGGGGUCUAUACUACCGCUUUCUAACAUUCGCGUGGUCUAGGGCGUCCUACAGCUAGACCUGCUCUGAUACCAAGCCCGUGGCACCCCGGCUCAGAGAAAACCGAAACACCCCGUAUUCCAGCCCAGAGAUCGAGAUGAAGUCUUCUGGUAUAUGGCACUGCUUAGCAUAGAACAAACCGGCUCUUUAUUACAAUCUAUUUGGGUACAAGGGUUACAUCGGCACGACGACACUAUGCCUGCCACUGUUGCUCUAUGCAAGCAGCAGAACAACACGGUGCAGCGGAAGAACUCUAGCAGCAGAACAACAACGACGGUGGUGAACUCCACUCCGCAGGGACUCUCGCUGGAACGCUUAUCCUAGCUCGCAAACAAGGACUCCACGACAAACAAGCAAUCAAAUCCGGAAUGACCUGCAAACUGGCAUGACACGCCAGGUCAGUACAUUGAAUGUACUUGCAAGCUCACAAUAACCAGAAGCAUUCAAGACAAACAACAGCAUGGCAAUUACAGGUUAAGCAGAAAUUAACAUGAUAUCAUCAUAGCAACAUGGCAUCAAUACGAACAUGGUACAGCUAGAACAACAUGAACCUGGCAUGAACAUAUGAAUCUGACGAUACUAGCAUGCAACAUGAUGACUCUAUAUGCACCACUUAUUCUGCUCGGGCUACCUUGUAACCAACACAUGCACCACUUACCAACCUCGGACAUCACACGAUCAUCGCAGGAUCAAAUCAAGCUUGGUAUAAACAAUACCGUAGUAAUCAUUAAAUGACCACAAGGAGCUUGAUUUUUACCCAUGAUUCUCGCACAACAUCACGAAUAUACAAUGACUCGGUAUCCUCGAUACCACUAUUUUCCUUACGGCAAUCACAACCACGACCAACACUUGGUCUCAAACCGUGAUCCUUACGGCUAUCACAACCACGACCAAGAUUUGGCACAUGAUCCUUACGACAAUCACAACCACGACCAAUAAUUGGCCCGUGAUCCUUACGGUGAUCACAACCACGAGUUGUCAUUAAUCAAGUUAUUCUUAUUACUAUUGACUGAUAGUGUGACCUACUUUCGAACUGGGCCCUUAUCUGCGGGCGCGGCUAUCGAUAGAUUUAAUAUACACUUUGCAGAGGUUAGUACACUGUACCCACACUACGGAACCCAUGGCCUCGUACUCCCAUUCAGGUGGACCAACAGCGUUCCGACAAAACCAUCCUACUGCCAUGACACUCUCCCGGCCACUCCGACCAACUCCCCUUUGGGCUAAGUCAUGGGUGGCCCCGUGUCUACCUCAAGACACAACGACCACCGUCGUGGCCCGUCCCACACGGGGACACGGAUCCAAAAAACUCAACAACGGGCACACAAGGUUAUGCCUGCUUACCUGGCCAGGGUACAUCACGCCCAUAACCUUCCCUCCUUGGAGGCACCAACGAGAGGCACAACAAUAGACCCAGUUAGGGCCGUCCCAUACCGGCAAGCGUGGUUGCACUGGUCAGCAUCAAUUCAGCGGCACCAUGACUCAACCAACAGUUGUUCAAGUUCAAUUUAAUCUGGUUAAACUUGAAUGCAAAUAUGCCGAGCCAUGAUAAAAUGCAUGAACAUGGUAUCAACAUAAUCAUGAGGGUAUCACAUAACUAUCCAUCAUAUCAACAAGGAAUCAUAUCCACUGAGCAUGGCAUACUGACUAGCAUGACCAUCACCAACAUCAACAUGUACUACUAGCAAGCAUAAACAUACGAAAGGAAAUACUAGCAGGUAGAACAUGAUAACAGAGUACAAGACAACAUAGCACAAAAGUGAACAUGCAAAUCUAAACAUCACCGGAACAAUGAUAACCAUCUUUUCAACAAGCAAACAUUUAAUAAAGAUUCAAGUUGAAAACCAUGGCUACUGCAUGACUAUCAUGCAAGUGGGUAUUGUGGCUUGCCUAGGGAUGAAGAAGGCACCGGGGAGAAGUGCGGUGAAGCCACGGAAAGA
rnacentral:lncRNA from 1 species